rnacentral:lncRNA from 1 species
GAUAAUAAUUUUUAUAUAUUUAUAUUUUAUUAUAUAAUAGCCCAACCCGGUAUAAUAAAAAGAGACGGACUUUAGACCAUUUGGGGGAUCUUUCUAAUGGCUCUGCUUCUAGACCACCGUCUCACCUUUCCAUUUCUCUUCCCAUCUCUCCAUUUCUGUUGAUAAAUAAUAUCAACAAAAUUUAUAAAAUAUAAGCAUGAAUUUGAAAGAAAAUUGAAACGAUGAGAAUAUCCUUUAUUUUCAUACUCAUUAUGUUGAUUUUCAGGUAGAUCAUGUUACUAUAAUAUUGUGAAAUUAUUGCUAAUGCUAUGGUUUUUUCUUAUGUUUUUAAAUUAGGAAGUAGAUUCUUUUCUUUUCAAGUGUGAUAAUUAGAAUUUAGGAUUUGAGUAAUCUGUGUCAGGAAAAUUUCUGAGUAGAAAAAUAAGAAUGUCAAAGUGUUCUGAUGUAAUUUUAUUUCUGUUAUACUGCAAAAGCAUUUGAAUUUGGAAUUUCCUAGCUCGAUUCAAAAUUGAAGUUGAUUCAAUUUAUCAUAAAACAAGUGUAAAACUAAAUUAAGAUGAAUUCAAAAUGACUUGAACGAACAAAUAAUUAUAAAUAAUUUAUUCAAAAGUAACUUGAAAUAAAACCACCUAAUCAAACUAAAAAAUACCCAAAAUCAAUGUCAAUCAAUUGAUUUAUAAUUCCCAUCAAACAAAGAUUAAACAGUACCUCAAGUCCUUACUACAUAUACACUUUCACAAAAAUGGCUUUUUUUCUUAUUCAAAAGGUAAACAAUGUUCCACUCAAAGCAAAAUCUCUGAGCCAUAAUAUAAAACAAUCUGCAUAUUGUGUUAUUUCAGUUCAUAAUCCUAGUUUCUCAUCAUAAACAAUAAUAUAAGAAACUAUUACAAACCCUUCAUUCUUCAACAAAUUUCUUGAGAUUUUUCAACCAUAAAAGAUACUCUCUGUUAUCCUUAUCGGCCAUGUACUCACGCAAGUAAUUUGUUGUACUUGGCUUGAUUCCUCUAACGUCCAAGUAUUUGUAAAAACCCUUCUGCAAAUUCUCAUCCAAAUCACUGCAAAUCACACAUGAAACAAUAAAAAAGCAAUCAAUAUCCAAACUUUCCCAUGCAGUUACACAAAACUAUAAGAAAAAAAGAUCAAAUUACAAUAUUGGUCCCUUUACAAUACUCCAAUUUGAGAUUUAACCCAUUUGGUUUAAUAUCUAUUUCGGUUAAUAUAACUUCUAGUCUCUAAACUUGGUAAUUAGGUCCACUUUGGUACCUAUUCUUACCUGAACUUAGCAAUUAUGUCCAUUUUGGUCCCUUUGGCAAAGGUAAAAGCAUUGUGCAACAUCGUCACCAGUCGUCAUCAAAUUCUUGAUGGAAUCCAAGUUCAAGGAUGGAUCUAGUUGCCAAGUUCAAGUACCAAAAUUGAAAAAAAUAUAUAGGAACCAAAGUGAACCUAAUUGCCAAGUUCAGGGGCUAAAAGUUAUAUUAACCCUAUCUAUUUUUAUAAUAUCUACCAGUAAGUCCAAAUAACUGACCAUUAACUAUUUUGAGUAAAAAAAUAUACAAGCACCAAAGUGGACCUAAUUGCCAAGUUCAGGAACUAAAAGUUAUAUUAACCUUAUCUAUUUUUAUAAGGUCUAAUGUCUAUCCGUUAGUCCAAAUAAUCAGCACCAAUUAACUAUUCUGAUUAAAUUGCAGAUGUGAGCUACUUCUAAAAAUAUUUCUACCUCAUCGUUAUGACAUAAAUCUUUUUCAUGUAAAAAAUCCAGACAUUUUAACUGGAAUGAUUUUUAACUAUUUGGGCUAACUACGUUAUAUGCAAACUAAUGUACAAACACUAAAUCUCAAAUUAGAGUAUAUCAAACGAACCAUAACCAUAAUUUGACCCAAAGGAAAAAGGAAGCUUACUUGAAAUCAGGGCCUUCAUAAGCAAGUUCAUCAUCCCCAGGGUUGGGAUUUCUAAAACUCAAACUGUCAAUUCCAAUCCCAUCAUGUAAAGCAGUGCAACUGAACUCCAAACUUCGACUAUCUUUCUUCGAAACGGUGACAACGAACGGGAUUCUAGCAUUGUUAUUAUCCCCAUCAUUGUCUUCAACUUCAUCUUCAUCUUGCUCGUCUUCGUUAAGAUCAAGCAUGUGAACAUCAACUUUUAUGAGCUCACCAUUAUAUUCUCUUGUCAAUGUUACAAUUUGAGUCCCAGGGUUAUCUUCGACUUCAAAAGGGAAUCCACUAGGAGUUCCUACAACCUGUGAAAAACAACAAAGCUUAAUAUAUGAUGACCAUUUUCAUUUCAAAGAAUAAAAACCCAAAAGCAAGAAAGAGAAAAAAAAAUCAAGAAUUUUCUAUGCUUACAGCAAAUUUAGUUCAAAAAAUGCUAUUGAAAUUACAAAAUUUAUGUAGAAAUGGAAGCAUAAUUUUAAACAACCAUGUUCAGAAUUUAUUUUCAGCAGCUUCAGGAAAAUAAUGAUUUUUUAAACAAGAUUGCAAUCUUUUUACCAUUCUUAUGAAGAUCAUCACCAUCUUCAUUUUAAAGAAUUAAAACCAUAAACAUGAAACCUUUUAACCCCCCCCCACAACAAUUUACUAUCUUUACACUAAAUUUAGUUUAAAAUAAGGGGAAAAUGAUACUGAAAUUACAAAUAUCUUUUUCCAGCACCUUCAAGUUCUUUUAGAGGAAACUUCUGAUUUUCAACAAGGACGCAAAUUUUCCCAUUUUUAUGAAACAAAUUUUAAAAAUAAAAACCCAAUAUACAUCAAAUUCAAAAAUUCAUGCUUUACCCUUAAUUCCCCAUUAACAAAAAGGAAACGUUUUAAAAAAAAGGUAAAAUAAUUAGUCACCUGAUCAGAGCUAUCACCCUCAGCAAACUGAAUCUCGGACUCAAGAACUCGGAUGAGAGACUCAUCAGAAGAGGGUUUCUUGGAAGCAACGGCGGUAGAGAAAUGGAAGCUAUUUGGGUAAAAACGGUUAACGGCCGGUUUCUGAGACUGUAACCCAUGGUUCAAAGCCCUGAAGAUCGAAGAGUGGUAGUUCCUCUGGACUCGGGUGAGUCGAAUCGCGAGUGGAGCCAACGCGUUAGCUGAUUUACGGAAAACCGAAGCGAAAGCCAUGGGAACUGAGCUGAGAAAACAAGAGGGUUUUCUAGGGUUUUAGAAAAAAGCUUAAUUCUUUGUAUCGAGGGUUUUAAGGUUUUGAAAGGCAAAUAUUUUAGCCCUUUUUUGUGAAGUUGGGCCUUAAUUGGGCUUGAUUUUGCACCAUUUAUUUUAGGGUAAAUCACACCUAAAAUCACUAUACUAUUAAUAAAUUUUUAUUUUGGUCACUCAACUUUAAAAAAUUACAAAAUAAUCACAAUUAGCUUUGUCAUUGAAGUGAUAUUGUAAAUUCGCAUUUAUUUCUGUUAUUUAUUCACACAGUUAGAGCCAAGUGAAAAUCCAAUCAACUAAUAAUAAAUAUAUUUGUUGGUCAAAUGCUUAAACUAAAAAUAUUAUCAAUUUGACCCUAAUAAAAAAAUCAUAUCAUGUAAAAUUCAAAAAUAAAAAUUAAAGGUAAACUAUACCAAAUUAUUAAUAAAUUUAUGUUUUUGCCACUUAACUUUAAAAAGUUACAAAAUGAUCAUUGAACUAAUCGAAAGUUUUUAUUUAAGUUACUGGGUUGUUAAGUUUUUUUUUUAAAGAUCAAUUAGCAAACUUCAAACAAUGAUUCAACGAUCAAUACAGUGGACCAAUACUAAUCAAUGAGUAGAAUAACAUAUCUUUGAUUCAAAUCGAUUUGAUAAUCAGUGUCGAAGAUUAGAGAAGAAAGUUGUUUGAUUUUGGUUUACAAAUUCGUGACAUUUAAAACGGUUUCAUGAAAAAAAAACUGAACUGUAAAAGAAAAUGGAAAAGAGAGGUUUAUAUUGGUGCAGACAGUGCAAACAUAAAAGGUCAUACAACAAUUAUUUUAACAACUCAGUUAUUUAAGGGGGCAUUUGAUUCAUCGAAUCUUAGAUUACGUUCCAUAAAAUGAUUAUAAAAAUGUAAUAUUAUGGGUGAAAUAUAAUAUUACAUUGUUUGAUUUCUUUUGUUGAAAUGUAAGAUUCAAGUAUUUUGGUCGACAAAAUAUAAGGUUAACUAAAAGAAAAUUAUAUAUAUUUGUUUUUACAAGUUCACUUAUUUCUCAAAUUUUUAUAAUAUUAAAAUAACUUAAUAAAUUCAUUUUUGUUAGACCUUUAUCAUAUGAAUUCAAUUGAGUCCCAUAAAAUUUAUUUAUAUGAUUUGUCAAUUUGAAAUUUGUUACAAAUGUUGAUGCUAAUAAAGCAAAUAUAAUAUGAAUGACAUAUAUAAAAAUACUUUAAAUAUAGUUAUAAAAUGAAUAAUACAUAGGUACGCUAAUAGAGGUGCUCAUGGGUUGGGUUGGGUCGGAGCAUGAUAUUAAUAUACUUGAUGCUUACUCAAGCUUGACUCAACACGAAAUCUAGGCUUAAAAUUUUGUCCAAACUUGCCCUUAUUUGUAAAAGACUAACCCAAGCCCAUUUUAGGUCUACCUAUAUUAUUUUUUUAUUUUAAUCUUUAAUAAUUUUAUAUAUUUUUUAUUUGUUGAAAUUUUUAUAUAGUCAUCUUAACAUUAUUUUAAUGUUUAUAUUAUAGCAGUGUUAUAUAUUUAGUAUAAAUUUAUUUUUUAAUGUGUUUUAAAUUACAUAAUAUAUAAAAAUAAAAUAAUAUAGAGUAUUAUAAACUUAAAAAGGGUCGGGUUGGGUCGGGCUGAAUUUUUUUCUCAAAUCUAUUUUUCGAACCUAAUAUUUUUGUCCAAAUCUCUCCAAAUUUUAGAUGAACCUUUAAGACUGUACAGGUAACCUGAGCCAUAAACAAGUCCGAUUUCUAAAAUUGAAUAACCUUAAAUAUUCUCAUAUUAUUUAAUUUUACUCUAAAUGGCUCAUGUGGUGUGCUUUUUUUCCAGCAAACGUAAAAUUAGGAUUGCUUUGUACUAUUAAGAGUAGGAAGAAAAAAAAUGCACACCUUUUAAAAGUUUCAUAUCCAUAUUUAUUGUUUGGAUAAAAAAAUAUUUUUAAUGGUUUAUUCUUAUACAUUGUAUAUUUACUUUAAAUUGCCAAAAAUUAACAAAAAUAUAAAAUAAAAUUUGAAUAAUUCAAAGUCAAAUUAAAUAUAUAUAUAUAUAUGAAUAAAAUUUGUAUAUGUAAAUAAAAUGCAUAUUUACAUUUUAAGCAUCUCGUUUUAAUUUUGUGCAAAAUUUGAAUAAAAUGUGAAUAAAACUAAAGCAUUGAAUUUACAAACUUCCUUAUUAUUGAUCUAAAAAUUGAGGGUAAUUUUGUUUUAAAAUUCAGAUUCCGCCCUUAAUUUAAUAUUACUCCAGAAAGAGGUCAUAAUGAGAUUAUACCUUAUGUUAUGAGGUGAUUAUAAUGUGAGAUUACGAGAUGGUCGGAAUGUUGAAAUCCAAACACCAUAAUCUCAUUUCGGAAUAUAACAUUACGGGUCGUAAUAUUAUAUUCGUAGAACCGAACGCCUCCUAAAUGAAAACAUUUGAAUGGUUCAGUGACCAUCUUGUAACUUUUUAAACUUGAAUGACUAAAACAUAAAUUUGUUAAUAGUUUAGUGACCUUUUGAAAUUUACCCAAAAAUUAAAUAUCAAAUUUUGAGGGACAAAAACAAAAAUUAAUCAAAAGUUGACAAAUCACCCUGUCAACGUCAUUGGUUUAUUUUUUUUCAUUUAUCCAUUUUCACUGCCAAAAAGCCAAAACAUUAGCAAAUAUCAAAUACAAUCACACUAGAAAAGUUGUGUACUAAUGUAUUCAAAAAUGUAAAUAAAUAAAUAAAUAAAUAAAGCCAUUUUUUGAAAAAAAAUACGGAAAUUGAUGAAUUUUUAAAAAACGCUUUUAGCUGGAAACGUUUCCAAGUAAUUUACAGGAAAAAAAUUUCUAGUCGAAAGUACUUUUUGCCAAAUCAGCAGAAAAAGCUUCCGACUACAAGUGUUUUUCCUCUAAUUUUUUCUAAGAUUAGGAUUUUUUAAAUAGGAGUUUAGUUUUUAGGAUUAGGGUUUUAAGUUUGUAAAGUAGGGUUAUUUGGAUUUUAUGGGUUUAGGGUUUUUUUUUUACUUUUAAAAGUUUAUUAUACAUUAUAUUUUUUAAUAUUUUUUUGAGAUAUUAAAUAAUAAUUAUUUAAUUUGAAAUUAAAAAAAUCGUUUUUACAUCAAUUGUAUAUUUGAAUUGGAAAGUUCAAUUUGAUUCAUAAUCGAAACUCGAACUACUCGAUAGGGAUGAAAUAUUAGUUUCUUUUUUCUUUUUUAAUCUUAGUUUGAUCCAAUUUUUUAAUAAAUUAUUUAUUCCAGUGCAUUAUUUUCAAAUAGAUAGAUUCAAACAUUUUUGCCAUACAAUACAAAUCAAUAAAUUAUACUACUUUCUUCCCCGUCGAGUAGUUUGAGUUUUGAUUAUGAACCGAAUUGAAUUUUCCAAUUCGAAUAUACAAUUAAUAUAAAUACGAUGUUUUUAAAUUUCAAAGUAAAACAUUAUUAUUUAACAUCUCAAAAAUUUAUUAAAAAAUAAAUAAUAUAUAAUAAACUAAAAAAGUAUAAAAAAAACCCUAAACCCAUGAAAUCCAAAUAACCCUACUUUACAAACCCAAAAUCCUACUUUAAAAAACCCUAACCUAGAAAAAAAUUAGAGGAAAAACGCUUCCAACUGAAAGCCGUUUCAGUUGUUUUAGCAAAAAGUGCUUCCAGCUGAAAACUUUUUUCCAAAUCACCUGAAAACGUUUCAUGAAUAAGUAAAAUGAACAAUUUUUUGCCGGUUCCGUCUGAGCAAUCGGCGACACUACCCUCACCUGUCACCAAUCAUUUGUAAUGAUUGGAAUGUUAAAAAAAUAUUUGUAAUUAAUUUCUACUUUAUCCUAUUUUAGUAAAAAAGAUUUUUUUUAUAUAAUUUAAGUAAAAAAUCCAAUGAUUGAGUGAGGCAUAUUUUAGAUAAAUAACUUAAAAAAUUUAAAAAUUAUAAAAAUAACCCUAAUAUUAAAUUAUUUAAAAAAAAUAACCUAGUUUCUACCAUAAAAGUAGGUUCCCCACCUUAAAUGGUGGCAUCAUCCCAAAAUUAUUGUAUCACCAUUACAAAAAAUGAUAGGAACAAAAAAAAAGUAAUUUUUUCUUUGUGCCACCUCAAGACGGCACAUGUAUAAAAUAUGAUAUUUUUAACUGUAUUUCUAGAGUUACAUAAAAAAAUAUAUUUUUUAAUAUUUAUGGUGCCGUCAUGUUAUUUAAAGGCACCAAAAUGAAAUAAAAAAUUAUUUUUUGGUGCCACCACAUUAUUUAGAGGCACCCAAAUUGAAUAAAAAUUAUUUUUUAGUGCCGCCAUAUUAUUUGAAUGCACCCAAAUUGAAUAAAAAAUAUUUUUUAUUUCUUCAUUUUUCUUUAAAUGAUAACUAAUUUUUAAUCACUUAAUCUUCUUAUUAAUUAUUUUUUAAUACAUUAAGUUUUUUCAAUUAAAUUUUCAUAUUUUUAUUUCUAUUAUUAUUUUUAAAUUUCUUUAUUUAACUCAAUUUUAUUUUAUUAAACUCCAUUUUUUUACAUUUUUUAAAGAACAAAAUAAUUCUAAAAGACAAACAUAUUUUUAUUUAUGUAUCAGAUAAUAUGGAACAACAAAUUUAUUUUUCUCAUCAUCUAAAUACUUUUUCCUUUCCACUAAUUGUAUUUUAUAUAAAUAAUUAACGGAUUAAAUAUUUCUUAACACAAUAACAUUUCAAAUAUUACAAUAAUAAUAAAAAUUUCAAUUGAAAUCAUUACAUAAUAGAGUCGGUAAUAUAGUAAAAUAAAUAUUUUGCUUGAUUCCAUCAACUUCUACUUGAACCAGGUCGAUCAGGAACCCCACAGUAUUCAUCUUUGGUUUCUUUAAAGGUAUGACAUUUUGCCAGCAUUUCUCCUGCCUGAGAGCACUUUUCAUGUCGACUCUUCUCCCUCCAUAGCAUAACUCAAUUGCAGUCGUGACCGCGUAAUCACUGCUAACAGAAACUCUUGACUGCGUAACCACUAACAACUAAAAGCCCAUCUCCCUUAGUGUUAAAUAGGGUAUUUCGAUAGGGGAUGGACCAUUAACCGCGUAACCACUACCAAUAAAAACUCUUAACCGCAUAACUACUACCCUAAAAACGACAUAUUUUUCGUGCUUUUAUAUAUAAUGGUCAUGACGAAAUAAUUUUUUCAUUAAAGAACAUCAUCAUAAUAAAUAUCUCUCAUUUUUUCAACAUAAUACAUUUUUUUUCUUUCAACAUAACCAAAAAAAAAUUUAAGACCUCUACGUGUGCUAAGUUGAAGUUGGAGUAUCUAUAGUUGGUGGUGCCGCCACAUUUAUAGUAGGCAACAUGAGAAAAUAAUUUUAAAUUAUUUAGGAUACAACAUAUGAAGUGGCGGCACCAAUAAAUUACAAAAAUUUUUUAUUCAAUUUGGGUGCCUCCAAAUAAUGUGGUGACAAUUUUUUUUUUCAUUUUGGUGCCUCCAAAUAACGUGGUGGCACCACAAAUAUUAAUAUAUAUUGUCUGUAUACCUCUGAAUUUUUUUUUUCAUUUUGGUGCCUCCAAAUAACGUGGUGGCACCACAAAUAUUAAUAUAUAUUGUCUGUAUAACUCUGAAAAUAUGUUUGAAAAUAUCACAUUUUAUAUCGAUACCAAGAAAAAAUAAUUUUUUUUUGUUCCUAUAAUUUUUUGUAAUGAUGAUGCAAUGAUUUUGGGGUGGUACCGUCAUUUGAGGUGGGGGAGCCCACUUUUAUUGUAGAAACUAGGUUAUUUUUCUAAAUAAUCUAGUAUUAGGGUCAUUUUAAAAAAUGUUUAAUUUUUUUAGGUCAUUUAUCUCAAAUACCCUUGAGUCUAGUGUGGAGUGUCCGGUCGAUCCAAUCCAAUUUAGACAACAAUGGCCGAUGCUUUUAUUUUAAUCACUACUAUUUAUGAAAACACAUUUGUAUUUGAAUAGGAUAAAACAACAAUUAACUCUUAAAUUCAAUUUUUUUUCAAUUUGGUCCUAAACAUUUUUAGUUCAAAUUAUACCCAAUUUUGGAUAUGGUAGAACAAUUUAGUAGUUUCCAACACAUUUAAGAGGUGAUGAUACAGCGUUUUUAGUUUGUGCCAUAAAAUCACUCAAUUAUUUUAAAAAAUUAUAUAAAAAUUUACAAAUACAUAAAAAUUAUAAAAGAAUAUCUUAUAAGUUUCUUAUUUUUUUUAUAUAAAAACUUAAAAUGAUGACGUGACAUUUUUUAAAGUAUCGUGUCAUUAACUUUUAAUAGUGUUAAAAGUAUUUAAAUAUUUGAUGAAAUCUAUUAUUUAGAAUCAACGAGCAACAAAAAAAAAGAUCAAAUUAAAAAGAAAAUAUUAAAUUCAAGAAUUAAAUAUCAUUUUAUCUCUAUAUAAAUUUAUGUACUCUUUGCUUAAUUUUUAUUGAAUUUAGUGGUGAGUUGGUAUCACUAUUUUCAAAACUAAAAUAAUCGAUUAGGCUAAUUGCUUGCAUCAUAAAUUGUUUGAGAUAUCAGUUCAAAUCAAUUUUUUUAUGUUUUUAAUAUUUUUAUUGAUUUAUUAAAUUAAAUCGGUUAAACUGAUCAAAUUGAUUUAACGAUGGAUCCAAUUCUAAUUUUACAAUACUUUAAAAAAUUAAAAUUUUAAUAAUUGAGAUAACUCUUAAAAUUGUUAUGAAAAUAAAAUAAAACAAAACAAAAUUUUAAUUUAAUUUUAUUGAUAAUUAAUUUUUUAAAUGCCAACCUCUGUCAUAAAAUGAGAUUAAGAAUACAAAAUCCAUCUGAACCCCAAUUUCUUAUCUAAUAUUAUUUUAUAAAUUAAUAUAUUCAAAAUAAUAAUAAUUUUUUCUCAAUUAAAUAUUAAAAAUUAAGUGCUUCGGUCAUUAAUAAUUAAUUAAAAAUACAAAAUACAAGAUUAGGAAUACAAAAUCUAUCUCAACUAAAAUUUCUUAUCUAAUAUGAUUUUAUAAAUUUAUAUAUUUAAAAUAUUUAUUUUUUCUCAAUUAAAUAUUAGAAAGUUAAUUAAUUUGUUGAACUCAACCUGAACUCUUCCCAAGAUCAACUAACAAAAUAUUUACAUUUUUCUUUCUGUACCGGAAAUCACUCUCGGGGCACAAAGGAAUGUCGAAUAAUGAAAAUUUCCAGGAUUCAAUGUUGAAGAAGCAGAAAGAAGAAGAGGAAGAAGAAUACUUCAGGCUGUUGCCUCCCGGUUAUAGAUUCAAACCAAGGGAUGAAGAGCUUGUUAAUUAUUACUUAAGACUAAAAAUUUCGGGUCUUCCAUUGCCUCCCAAUAGAAUAAGAGAGGCUAAUCUCUACAGACAUGAUCCUGAAACUCUUACAGGUUUGGAUUCUUGUUUAUUUAUUUUCUCUGAAACUGUAAAACAUUAGUUUUCUUUUUUAAUUUUGUAUUAUUGAUUAUGUUUUGAUUAAAUAGCCAUGAACAAGUACACAUCGUCGAAUGAAGUCGAAAAAGAAUGGUAUUUUUUUACGCCACGAGAACGGAAAUAUACAAACGGAUCAAGGCCGGCGAGGAAGGCCGGUAGCGGAUACUGGAAAGCGACCGGAGCCGAUAAGGAGGUCAUAUUGAAAGGAAAGAAGAUAGGAUGUAAAAAAACUUUAGUCUUUUACGAAGGGAAACCACCGAGAGGGUUUAAAACCUAUUGGACCAUGCAUGAAUAUGUAUCAAGCGAAGCUCCUGUCAGAGUAAGACAUGGCAAGGAAGACAUGAAGGUAUCAUCUUUCAAAUAUGUGAAAAUUUGUAUCUAUUAGUACUUAAUUUCGAAAAUUUUUUGUUUUCUUUCAGCUGGAUAAUUGGGUCUUGUGUAGAUUAUACAAGAACCGAAGGGAAGCAAAGCAAAAACAUAGAAUCCCACAAGAAGGGAACGGUCUUGAAUGUCAAGAGAAAGUUGAACCUCACAAAAUGGCUGAACCUGUUAGUGAACCCAUUAAUAAGGUUGCACCACCUGUUUAUGAUCAAUAUCAACAGCGUGAAGUCCAACCAUUUAACAUGAACAUUGGACAAGACACUAAUUGGUUUCCUGAACUAGAUAAUCUAAUGCCUGUUUCCGAUGAAUACGGUAAUUAUUAUAUGUUUGAUAAUAAUCCCACACAUGGAGGGUUCCAGCAGGUUCCAAAUUAUGAUGAUUUUGUAACAAAUGCUGCUGCUGCUGCCCCUGCUCCAUUUUCUUCAACGUUUCCUCUUGAUAAUCAGUUUCAGUUCAUGGGCAAUGCUGGUUUUAACUUGCCACCGCCGCAGCUGCAAUUUCAGCCACAUUGGCCGGCGCCGCCGUCACCACCGCAGCAGUUUUCAGGAGCCAACACUGGUUUUGAUUUUUCGGUUGAUGAAUAUUUUUUGGAUCCUGAGUUUGGCAUGUCACCAUCAGAGUUUUGUUGAACUGAUAGGUUAUUUUUAGGGUUUGAAUAUCCUAACUGUAAUUGAACUAUAUUUCAUAGGGUUUCCUUUAGCAAGGAUAGAUUUAAGUUGGAUGAUUUUCUUAGAAGGGGAAAUCAACCCCAAAACUUUCGAAUGAUUAAAUAAUCAUUUCGUCAUUUUUUAAAAUUAAAUAAUUAAAAUGUAAAUUUAUCUUUAAGUGUAGUUUACCAAAAAUUAAAUAUCAAAAUUUGAGGGACAAAAACCAAAAUUAAACCAAAAGUUUACAAUUACACUGUCAACAUCGUUGCUUUAUUUCGCCAUUUAUUCAUUUUCUUGGUCAAAAAGCCAAAACAUCAGCAAAUACCAACUACAAUAUCUACGCAAGUUAGCUCUUCAAAUUCUACAUAUUCUUCCCUUCUUUUUUCUUAGUCUUCAUCUCAUUGAAUUUUUUUUAAAUAGAGAGAAAAGGGUGAGAAAAUCCACCAUGGCUUUAGCAAACAUAGCUAUCAAUCUCGCAAGUGUUGGCUCAAAUUUUCCUUCUUCUAUUGAUAAGCUGAAGAAUUCAUCAACUAAAGCUCAAAUAAAUUUAAGGGUCUCGAGAAAUUCAUCAGUUAAAGCAGUUCAGAGCUCAUCUGUGGAAUCAGAUACUGGAAGAUGGGUUAGAAAAAGACGACCCCAGAAUGUAGAUGGCGACUUCUUUGUAGGUAAAAAUCAUAUUUUGAUAAUUUCCCAGAAAAUUUCAUCUUUAUGGGGAGCUUUUUUUCUUUAUAAUAUACUGUAAUCGGUGGGAAAUUGUUACUGAACUAGUUCAUUGAUUGAAGGGUUGUUAACUUCUUUUUUUAUGUAGGAUGGUAUAUUCUUAGUUCUUACGGUGGAAAAUGAAUAGGAUAUAGGUGUUAAAUAUAUGUUUUUAACUCUUAAUAGAUGCUGGAAGCUAUGUUACUCUGACUGUGUGAGUGUUGAAUACGGGCAGGGGCGAAGCCAGCAAAUUUGUUUAGGGGCCGAAAUAAAUUUGUAAAACUUGAGAGGGGAGAAAGCUAGAUAUAUAGUACUAUUUACUUUCUAUAGGGGCCAAACUUUGAAUUUUUCCAUUUAACUAAAGGAUUAAAAUGCUUAAUUUAAUGUUUUACUUAUUGGAGGGCCCCAUAUAGCAAUUUCACCAUUUGGCCAAGGGGCCAAGGCCCUUGCCUCCCCCGGCUACACCUCUGGAUACGAGUAUGGUUAAUCUUUUUUCUAUGUUUUUCCAUGUAUUUGGAGAAUCUUUGGAGGUGAUACUUUAAGAAAAAUGAGUCCGAGCAGUAUAGACAGUGAGGAUACCAAUAGGAAAAAAGUAUAUUAUUUUUUAGUGCCAUCUCUGCUAAUUUUGGUAUAUUGGUUUUUAAUCUAUUUUGCAGAUCAUACAUGCAUAGAUUGUGGUACUUGUCGUUGGAUGGCUCCGGUAAUCGCUUAACAAUCAAGCUUUUUUCCUUUUGGAGUUAACUUUUUGGAUUAGAUGAAUGUCAGUUUACUGCUAGUUGAAUAUAAGUUUCAAUGAUCUGGUUUACAAGGUAUAGAACAAGAUUGUUCAUCAACAAUUUUAGUUUCUGAAUGCAUUGAGACUUGAAGAAAUGAAAACUAUGUUUAACUCUUCGAAUUGCUGUUUUUUACUGUGUCCGAGAUGGCAUAUGGCAAUAUGAAUUGAAAAUAAAAAUUGUUUGAUUAGCUAUGGUAUAUAUAUAAGCUGAGAGUCAUGGAAGGCAUCACGCUUGCCAUUAAAUGAUUUCUUCCUUUCUUUUGCCUAAUCACUUUCCAUAUAAUAACAAGAUCCGCAGACCACCGGCUGAGAGUUAUUAACUAUGCUGCAUAACAAUAUUCUCACUUUAAUGUUUCUUUAUUUCUUGUUUGUUUUUCAGCAAGUCUUCACUAGAGUUGGUGAAAUGUCUGCAGUUUAUAAACAGCCAACUUCUAGCGAAGAUCGAUUAAAGGCUCUCCAGGUGCCGUUUCAUUGGUUCCCUUUCUUGUAUAUCUAUAACACGAUAUAUCAUAAUUUCACACAUUCAUACGCUUGCACACCUUUAUGCAUUUCUCAUUUUUGUUUGUAUCAAUUAUCAUACAGCCUGUUUGUUACCGAGAUACGUUAGUUUGAUUUCUGUUCCAGAAGAAACUGCAAUGUUAUCAUAAACAUUUGAUAUUUUCAGGCCUUGCUUUCCUGUCCAACAAGCUCAAUCCGUACCGAAGUACCUCCUCCUGAUAUCCUAGAAGCUCAAAAGACAUUUCCGAUUCCAGUAGAUGAAAAGAAACUACCUGUAAAUCAUAUCAUUAGUGUGUUCUUAUUUUGCAUUUUUAUAUUAUACAUUCUUGGAUUAGCAUGCCAACCUGAUCACUAUGUCUAUGAUAUAAUUAUUUUCAGGGUGUUUAUCACUGUGGAUAUCAUUCUGAGAAAUCAUACGGAGCUGCUUCGUACUUGAUCAUUCACCCUGGUGGAAAUAUACUUAUAGAUAGGUAAUAUUAUAGUACUCAUGUCUAACACCUAUACCUGACAUAUUUCCGAGCAUGGGUAUGGGAUAUGACCCUCUAAAGACCCUCCAAAUGCAUAGAAAUGCUUUUUUUUUCCCACUACGAUCGCUUCGCAUGUUAGGUUGAACUAAUUUGUCUAAUAUAAUUCUCUGCAGCCCCAGAUUUACAAAGAAACUUGCAAAGGAGAUUGAGACAAUGGGUGGAGUACGCUAUUUGUUCCUAACCCACAAGUAUGUCUAUAAUUUUAAUUUUGAUUGUUUAUUUUUGAGGUUUCUGAUCCAUGUUGUUAUGGUCAGGGAUGAUGUUGCAGAUCAUGCAAAGUGGGCAACACCGUUUACCUGUGAUCGAAUUCUGCACUCGAAAUAUGUUAGUUUCAUCAUCCUUAACCUCUGAUAUGCACUAUCCAUUUUUAUGAAAUAAAUUUUAAAAAUAAAAACCCAAUAUACUUCAAAUUCAAAAAUUCAUGCUUUACCCUUAAUUCCCCAUUAACAAAAGGGAAACGUUUUAAAAAAGAAGGUAAAAUAAUUAGUCACCUGAUCAGAGCUAUCACCCUCAACAAACUGAAUCUCGGACUUGUUGAGAAUUAAUUCAAAAUAAUAGAUUAGUGGGAUGUUUAGAAAAUCUUGGUAGUAUCUUGGUAGUUUCAAAAUUUUUAGGUUGAUCAAAUGAGUUGUUAGCUAUUUCUGUGUUAAGUUAGUUUCUAUGUAAGCCUAUAAAUAUAGGCAUUUAUGCUUUAUUUUUAUUCAUUUAGAAUUCAUCAAUAAGAGAGCAACUUUCCUACAUAUGAUUUUAUCUCUCUCAUGUUUAUUUCUCCAACAAAUUUUGCAUCGGAGCCAGGUUGGAUCCUUUAGGCAAUUGAGUGAAAGUGAGGAUUGGGUCCAUUAGGGAUUUGAGAGAAACACUUUGUUUGGGGUCUUUGGGAAAUACGAGAGAAGAGAGUGAGUGUUUUUGGAAUGGCAUCAGCUGGUUUUUCUUCCUCUUAACCACUCAUACCCAUUUUCAAUGGUGAGAAAUAUGAGUGGUGGAGCAUCAAGGUAAGGACAUUGCUCAGAUCGUAAGAGCUAUGGGACUUGGUGGAGUACGAGUUCGUUGACAUACUUGAACCUGGUGAAGAAGGUAAGAGGUUGAAAGAAGUCAAGAAAAACGAUGGUAAGGCAUUGUUCAUUAUCCAACAAGUAGUUCAUCAUGACUCUAUUUUCUCUCAAAUUGCAGCAGCAAUCACAUCGAAUGAAGUAUGGUCAAUCUUACAGAAAGAGUAUCAAGGUGAUUCAAAAGUUAUAGUAGUGAAAUUAUAAUCACUGCGACGUGAUUUUGAGACCUUGAUGAUGAAGAAUGGUGAAUCAAUUGCUAAUUUUUUGUCACGAACGAGGACAAUAGUCGGUCAAUUGCACUCUUAUGGCGAGAAAAUUUCAGCGAGACAAUUGUAGCGAAAGUCUUACGAAGCUUGACGACAAAAUUUGAUCAUGUUGUGGCUGCUAUAGAAGAGUCCAAAGAUCUGUCAGUUCUUUCUGUUGAUGAACUGAUGGGAUCUCUUCAAUCUCAUGAGGCGAGAAUCAAUAGAUUAGCAGAAAAGAGUGAAGAGAAGGCAUUUCAAGUGAAAGGCGACAAUAACCGUUCAACAAAUAGAGGUCAAGGAAAAAGAGGAUUUCGUAGAGGUCGUAACGGUGGUUAUGGCAAAAGCAGAGGCAGAGGAAGGUAUGAUGGACAAAGGCAAUCGAAUGAGCAAGGUAACACAAAAAAUGACAUUCAAUGUUACCAUUGCAAUAGAUAUGGGCAUGUAAAAGCUGAUUGUUGGUAUAAAGAUCAAAAAAUGAAUUUUGCAUCAAAAAGUGAGGAAGAAAACAAGUUUUUUAUAGCUUGUAUUGAUACUAACCAUAAGCCAAGUGAUUGGUGGUUUGUGGACAGCGGUUGUUCGAAUCACAUGACGGGCACCAAAUCAUUAUUCAAGGAGCAUGACGAGUCACAAAAGAUAAAGGUGCAGCUUGGGAACAAAAGGGAGAUGCAAGUUGAAGGAAAAAGCACUGUGGAAAUAGUUAAUAGCCAUGGAGAAGGAAAAAUGUUGGACAAUGUUCAGUUUGUUCCUGAUUUAGAAUUCAAUUUAUUGAGCGUUGGACAACUAAUGGCUGGUGGAUAUGUUGUCGUAUUUGAUGAUGAUGCAUGUAUCAUCAAAAAUAAAAAAUCAGGCAAACAAGUCCAUGUCAACAUGACACCAAACAAGAUGUUUCCGUUGGAUGUUUCAAACAUGGAGAACUUUGUUCUUGCUGCAAGUACUAAGGAUGACUGGAAGCUAUGGCAUUUAAGGUAUGGUCAUCUCAAUAUUAAAUGCCUGAAAUUACUGAGUGAUAAAGUUAUGGUUCUUAGACUACCGAAAAUUAGCUCUCUUGAUUUAUGUGAGGGAUGCAUUUAUGGAAAACAAAAUAGGAAGCCAUUUUCUAUUGGAAAAGCAUGGAGAGCUACUGAAUGCUUAGAAUUAAUUCAUGCUGAUCUAUAUGGUCCUUUACAAAUCGAGUCCUUGGGUGGGAGCUGUUACUUCUUGCUGUUCACUGAUGAUUAUAGUCGCAUGAGCUGGGUGUAUUUUUUGGAAAACAAGUCAGAAACUUUUGAAAAGUUCCAGAAAUUCAAGGUUAUGGUGGAGAAUCAAAGUGGCUGUCAUAUCAAAGUUCUUCACACAAAUUGAGGUGGAGAGUUCGUGUCCAAAGAGUUCAAUCUGUUUUGUGAGGACAGUGGCAUCAUAGGGAGUUAACAAUUCUUUACACUCCUGAGCAGAACGGUGUCGCUGAGCGGAAGAACCGAACUAUUGUGGAGAUGGCGAGAAACAUGUUACAAAUGAAGGGACUCUCAAAUCAGUUUUGGGCGAAAGCUAUGGCAACAUACGUCUAUCUACUGAAUCUCUCACCAACAAGGGUUGUCAUGAACAAAACUGCAUAUAAAGCUUAGUGUGGUAGGAAACCCAAUGUAUGUCAUUUAAGAAUUUUUGGGUGUGUUGCAUAUGCUUUGGUAAAUUCUUAUGCUCGUAAAAAGCUUGAUGAAAAGUCUGAAAAAUGCAUUUUCAUUGAUUAUUGUACUCAAUUUAAAACAUAUAGAUUGUAUAACCAUCAUAGUGGAAAAUUUACAAGUAGAAGAGAUGUAGUGUUUGAUGAAAAUGCAAGCUGGGAUAUGACUGUAGAGCAGGUACAACAGGAGAUUCCUUUUCCCAUCAAAGAUUCUAUAGAUAAAAAAGAGGAGCCUGCACCAGCAACAUCUACAACACUUGAAGAAUCUUCUGACGAGCCAAUUCCACUAAGGAGAUCAACAAGGGUCAAAAAGUCGAAUCCGAAAUAUGCUGAUGACACUUAUGUAUCCUGUCAAUUUGCUCUAGCCGUUUCAGAUCCUCUAUAUUAUGAAGAAGCUACUGAUAAGGAAAAAUGGAAAAAAGGCAAUGAUGGAGGAGAUACAAUCCAUCGAAAAGAAUAGAACUUGGGAGAUGGUCGACUUGUCGGAAGAUAAAAAUGCAAUUGGUUUGAAGUAGGUGUUCAAGACAAAAUUCGGUACAGAUGGAAACAUCCAAAAGCAUAAAACUUAUCUUGUAGCGAAAGGUUGUGCUCAGUAAUAUGGUAUUAAUUUCGAAGAAACUUUCUCUCCAGCAACUCGGUUCAAAAUGGUGAAGCUUGUUCUAGCAAUGACUGCACAAUUGCAAUAGUCUGUUUACCAGUUUGAUGUCAAAUCAGCGUUCCUCAAUGGAGAUCUACGAGAGGAAAUUUAUGUAACACAACCAGAAGGUUUCAUAGAGAAGGGAAAUGAAACAAAGGUUUACAAGCUGAAAAAGGCGUUGUACGGAUUGAAGUAGGCCCCUCGAGCAUGGUACAACAAGAUCGAUGGGUAUUUUUAGAAGAAAGGGUACAUGAGAAGUGAGAAUGAGCCCACAUUGUACGUGAAAAAGGAAGGUAAAAAUGAUUUCAUCAUUGUUUGUCUUUACGUUGAUGAUAUCAUUUAUACUUGUUCCUCUAACUUACUUGUUGAUGAAUUUAAGUCUCAAAUGAUGAAUGAAUUUGAGAUGCUCGAUAUGGGUUUAUUGUAUUAUUUCCUCAGUCUUGAAAUUCAUCAAGCUGGCGAUGGAAUUUUUAUCUCACAAAAAAAUAUGCCAAGGACCUUUUCAGUAAAUUUAGUAUACUUAAUUGCAAGCCUACAGCUACACUCAUGAAUGUCAAUGAAAAAUUACAGCAAGAGGAUGAAGAAGAAAUGGCAGAUGCAAUGAGGUUUAGAAGCUUGGUUGGAGGUUUAAUCUAUUUUACUUACACUAGACUCGAUAUUGCAUUUCCUAUUGGUGUUAUUUCCAGGUUUAUGCAGCAACCUUCAAAGGUUCAUUAUGGAACAGCAAAACGAGUCUUGCGAUACAUUCUGGAACUUCAGAGUAUGGCAUUUGGUACUCAAAAACUUUAGAUUUCAGAUUGUGUGGGUUCACAGAUAGUGAUUGGGUGAGUUUUGUAGAUGACAGAAGAAGUGUAUCAGCAUUUGUUUUUACUCUAAGUUCUGGGGUGAUCACUUGGAGUUCUAAGAAGCAAGCUACAACAGCAUUGUCAACCUCAAAGGCUGAAUAUGUAGCAGCAACUGCAAUAGCUUGUCAAGCCAUUUGGCUAAGGAGAAUGUUAACCGAUCUCCAACAAGAGCAGAAAUGUGCAACUACCAUAUUUUAUGACAACAAAUCCACUAUCUCCAUGACAAAGAAUCCAACAUUUCAUUGUAGAACAAAGCACAUAGAUAUUCGUUAUCAUUUCAUUCGUGAUUUGGUAGCAAAAGAAGAGAUAUCUUUAGAGUAUUGCAAUAUUGAAGAGCAACUGGCAGAUGUGUUAACAAAAACAUUAUCAAAAGAGAAGUUUUGCUAUUUUAGAAGUUUGCUUGGUCUCUGCAACUUUGAAUAAGGGGGGUGUUGAAAUUAAUUCAAAAUAAUAGAUUAUGGGAUGUUUAGAAAAUCUUGGUAAUAUCUUGGUAGUUUCAGAAUUUUUAGGUUGAUCAAAUGAGUUGUUAGCUAUUUUUGUGUUAAGUUAGUUUCUAUAUAAGCCUAUAAAUAUAGGCAUUUAUGCUUUGUUUUUAUUCAUUCAGAAUUCAUCAAUAAGAGAGCAACUUUCUUACAUAUUAUGUUAUCUCUCUCACGUUUAUUUCUCCAACAGGACUCAAGAACUUGGAUGAGAGACUCAUCAGAAAAGGGUUUCUUGGAAGCAACGGCGGUAAAGAAAUGGAAGCUAUUUGUGUAAAAACGAUCAACGGCCGGUUUCUGAGCCUGUAACCCAUGGUUCAAAACCCUAAAGAUGAAGGAAUGGUAGUUCCUCUGGACUCGGGUGAGUCGAAUCGCCAGUGGAGCCAACGAGUUAGUUGAUUUACGGAAAACCGAAGCGAAAGCCAUGGGAACUGAGCUGAGAAAACAAUGGGGUUUUUUAGGGUUUUAGAAAAAAGCUUAAUUCUUUGUAUUGAGGGUUUUAAGGUUUUAAAAGGCAAAUAUUUUAGCCCUUUUUUUGUAAAGUUGGGCCUUAAUUAGGCUUAAUUUUGCACCUUUUAUUUUAGGGUAAAUUCCACAUAAAAUCAGUAUACUAUUAAUAAAUUUACAUUUUGGUCACUCAAUUUUAAAAAUUACAAAAUAAUCGUAAUUAGCUGUUGUCAUUGAAAUGAUAUUGUAAAUUCACAUUUAUUACUGUUAUUUAUUCACACAAUUAGGGCCAAGUGAAAAUCCAAUAAACUAAUAAUAAAUAUAUUUGUUGGUCAAAUGCUUAAACUAAAAAUAUUAUCAAUUUGACCCUAAUAAAAAAACCAUAGCAUGUAAAAUUAAAAAAUAAAAAGUAAAACUAAACUAUACCAAAUUAUUAAUAAAUUUACGUUUUUGUCACUUAACUUUAAAAAAUUACAAAAUGAUCAUUGAAUUUUUAAAAAGUUAGAAAAUGAUCAUUGAACUAAUUGAAAGUUUUUAUUUAAGUUACUAGAUUGUUAAGUUUUUUUUUUCAAAAGAUUAAUUAGCAAACUUCAAACAAUGAUUCAACGAUCAAUACGGUGGACCAAUACUAAUCGAUGAGUAGAAUAACAUAUCUUUGAUUCAAAUCAAUUUGAUAGUCAAUGUCGAAUAUUAGAGAAGAAAGUUGUUUGACUUUGGUUCACAAAUUCAUGACAUUUAAAACGGUUUCAUGAAAAAAAGUGAACUGUAAAAGAAAAUGGAAAAGAGAGGUUUGUAUUGGUGCAGACAGUACAAACAUAAAAGGUCAUACAACAAUUAGUUUAACAACUCAGUUAUUUAAGGGAGCAUUUGGUUCAUCGAAUCUUAGAUUACGUUCCAUAAAAUGAUUAUGAGAAUGUAAGAUUAUGGGUGAAAUAUAAUAUUACAUUGUUUAAUUUCUUUUGUUGAAAUGUAAGAUUUAAGUAUUUUGGUCCACCAAAUAAGAGGUUAACUAAAAGAAAAUUAUAUAUAUAUAUUUUUUGUUUUUUACAAGUUCACUUAUUUCUCAAAUUUUUAUAAGACCUUUAUCAUAUGAAUUCAAUUGAGUCCCAUAAAAUUUAUUUAUAUGAUUUGUCAAAUUGAAAUUUGUUACAAAUGUUGAUGCUAAUAAAGCAAAUAUGAUAUGAAUGAUAUAUAUAAAAAUACUUUAAAUAUAGUUAUAAAAUGAAUAAUACAUAGGUACACGAAUAGAGGUGCUCAUGGGUUGGGUUGGGUCGGAGCAUGAUAUUAAUAUACUUGAUGCUUACUCAAGCUCGACUCGGCACGAAAUCUAGACUUAAAAUUUUGUCUAAACUUGCCUUUAUUUGUAAAAGAUUAAGCCAAGCCUAUUUUAGGUCUGCCCAUAUUAUUUUUUAUUUUUUAAAUAUUUAUUUUAUUUUAUUUUAAUAUUUAAUAAUUUUAUAUAUUUUUUAUUUAUUGAAAUUUUUUAUAUAGUCAUCUUAACAUUAUUUUAAUGUUUAUAUUAUAGCAGUAGUAUAUAUUUAGUAUAAGUUUAUUUUUUUAAUGUGUUUUAAAUUACAUAAUAUAUAAAAAUAAAAUAAUAUAAAGUAUUAUAAACUUAAAAAGGGUCGGGUCGGGUCGGGUCAGGCUGAAUUUGUAUUGACCCAAAAUUUACGGGCAUCAGAAAAGUGUAGUAUCGGGCCUCCGUCUUAGAAAAUUAAACCUGUAGAUAAUUAUUAGGAAUAUUUGUGAGUCUAGUUGUGUGUUUAAUUAGGUUUUAAUUAGGUGAAUUUAGCUUAAUUUAAGGUAAUUAGAAAAAAAGGACUAAAUUGAGUAAAGGGUAAAAGUUUAAUUAUAGAUUAAAAGAAAGUAUAAAGGAUCAAAAUGGCAAUUAAGCCAAUUCACAAGCAUGAGGCGGCAAUUACUUCAUAAAAAUCUUGAUAUUAAUUAAAAUUAUGAUAUUAUAUUAUAAAUUAAAUCAAAUAGUGGCAAAUGUAGGGUGAUAAUGUUGUACAUAUGUAAUAACAUGUGUAUAUACAUUUGUAUUAUAAUUCUUUAUUUACUUAAAAAUUAAGUUAAAAAGAUAUUUUGAUAAUUUAUAAUUAUAAUUAUUAUAUUAUGAAAUAAAUUAAAUUAAAGACAAAUGUUUGGUGAUUAAAUAAAACAUGUGUAAAAUAUAUAAAAACAUACUUGUAAUAAAAUAAAAUAUUUUCUUAUAAUUUAAGUAAAAGAUAUUUAUGAAUUAAAUAUUAUAAUAAUAAUAAUAAUUAUUAUUAUUAUUAUUAUUAACUAAUACAUAAAAGAAAUAAAGUAAAGAAAUAAAAGAAACAAAGAAGAAAAGAAACAGAGACCAUUCGAAACAGGGGAAAGAAAAAGGAAAAAUUAGGGUUUAAGGAUUUAAGCUUUAAUUUGGUAAGUCAAUCAAGUCAUUUUCUCUUAAAUUUGAUGUUUUAGAAGCUUUAAAAUAGAGUUUUGUUGAAAUUAAGUUGAUAUUUUAAGAGUUCAUAGGUUUUCAACUAUAGUUUAUGUUGAACAAAAGAGAUGAAUUAGGGAUUUAAUUGAAUGAAUUUCAAGUUAGAAUUGAUAAAAGGAUUAAAUUGUGAAGUAAGCUAUAAGUUUUAUGUUUUAGGGACUAAAUUGAGGGAAAUUCGAAAUUAGGAAAAUAUGCUGAAAUUUUGAUAGUUAAAUUUGAGUUUCAAUGAAAUUUGAAUAGAAAUAGAGUGUGAAUUGAAUUAGAAAAGUAAGAAAACUUAAUUAGGAUUAAAUUGAGAACAAGGUAGGAAUCGAUUAGAAAUUCAAUUAUUUAUCAUACUUAGUGCUGUAAUUAAUAGUGUAAAUUAUUAUUAUUUUUGUAGCUAGUAAAGAACCAGAAACAUUGGCACGGAAGGGAAAAGAGAAGAUUAUCGAGGAGUAAACUCGAGAAAAUCACAGUUUGUAUUACUAUAAUUCAAAUUAUUUAUUAUUUUAGUGUUGAAUUUAAAUUAUGUGUAUGGUAAGCAAAUAAUGAGGUAAGUGAAAUAUAAGGUAAGUAUUAUUAUUAAGCUGAAAGAAAUUCAAUUGAAUAAUGGAUAUAUAUAAUAUAUAUAUAUAUAUAUAUAUAUAAAGAAAUGAAAUGAAUAUUGACUUGAAAAUGGAAAAAUAAAUUUGGAAUUAAAUUAUGAUUGGGAAUUGAAUUUGGAAAAUUAAAUUGAAUGAGAAAAGUAUGUGCUGGUAUUGAAUUGUGUUUUGAUUAGUGAAUAGAAAAGUAUAAUUGAUAUUGAAAAUGAAUUCUUGAAAUAAAAGUGAAAAUUUGAUUGUGAAAUUGAAAUACCCUAUUAACUAGUUGGGCUAAGUUGGAUAUAAUUGACAUGCCAUAGGAUUUGUAAGAGUACGGGAUUUAUUGGCUUAGCCGAUCAGGCACUUUAUGUGUUGUACAUCAAACACUUUAUGUAUUGUAUCUUAGGCACCUUGUGUGUCGUAUCAGGCACCUCGUGUGUCGUUUCAGGCACUUAUGUGUCGUAUACUAAUCAGGUACUAUGUACCGUUUUAGGCACCAUGUGUCAUACUAGUGUUUUAAAGAACAUCAUAAUAAUAAAUAUCUCUCAUUUUCGUGUUUCUAUAUAUAGCGGUCAUGACAAAAUAAUUUUUUUGUUAAAGAACAUCAUAAUAAUAAAUAUCUCUCAUUUUUUCAACAUAACACCUUUUUUUUUCUUUCAACUAACAAAAAAAAAUUUAAGACCUCUACGUGUGCUAAGUUAAAGUUGGAGUAUAUAUAGUUAGUGGUGCCGCCACACUUAUAGUAGGCAAUAUGAGAAAAUAAUUUUAGAUACAACAUAUGAAGUGGCGGCACCAAUAAAUUACAAAAUUUUUUAUUCAAUUUGGGUGCCUCCAAAUAAUGUGGUGGUAAUUUUUUUUUUUUCAUUUUGGUGCCUCCAAAUAACGUGGGGGCACCACAAAUAUUAAAAAAUAUAUUUUUUGUAUAACUUUGGAAAUAUGGUUGAAAAUACCAUAUUUUUUAUCGAUGCCAAGAAAGAAUAAUUUUUUUUGUUCCUAUAAUUUUUUGUAAUGAUGAUGCAAUGAUUUUGGGGUGGUGCCGCCAUUUGAGGUGAGGAACCCACUUUUACCGUAGAAACUAGGUUAUUUUUCUAAAUAAUCUAGUAUUAGGGUCAUUUAAAAAAAGUUUAAUUUUUUUAGGUUAUUUAUCUAAAAUACCUUUGAGUCGAGUGUGGGGUGUCCGGUCGAUCCAAUCCAAUUUAAACAACAGUAGCUGAUGCUUUUAUUUUCAUCACUACUAUUUAUGAAACACAUUUGUAUUUGAAUAGGAUAAAACAACAAUUAACUCUUAAAUUCAAUAUUUUAUUUCAAUUUGGUCCUAAACUUUUUUAGUUCAAAUUAGACCCAAUUUUGGAUAUGGUAGAACAAUUUAGUAGUUUCCAACUCAUUUAAGAGGUGAUGAUACCGUGUUUUGAGUUUGUGCCAUAACAUCACUCAAUUAUUUUAAAAAAUUACACAAAAAUCUACAAAUAAAUAAAAAUUAUAAAAGAAUAUCUUUAUAAGUUUCUUAUUUUUUUAUAUAAAAAUUUAAAGUGAUGAUGUGACAUUCUUUCAAAGUAUCGUGCCAUUAAUUUUUAAUGGUGCUAAAAGUAUUUAAUUAUUUGACGAAAUCAAAUUUUUUAUGUUUUUAAUAUUUUUAUUAAUUUAUUAAAAUAAAUCGGUUAAACUGAUCGAAUCGAUUUGAUGGUCGAUCCAAUUUUAAUUUUACAAUACUUUGAAAAAUUAAAUUUUUAAUAAUUGCGAUAAUUCUUAAAAUUAUUAUGAAAAUAAAAUAAAAUUUUAAUUUAAUUUUAUUGAUAAUUAAUGUUUUAAAUGGCAACCUCUGUCAUAAAAUGAGAUUAAGUAUACAAAAUAUAUCUGAACCCCAAUUUCUUAUCUAAUAUUAUUUUAUAAAUUAAAAUGUUUAAAAUAAUAAUUAUUUUUUCUCAAUUAAAUUUUAAAAGAUUAAGCGCUUCGAUCAUUAAUAAUUAAUGUAUUAUUUUAUAAAUUAAAUAUUAUCUAAUGUUAUUUUAUAAAUUAAUAUAUUUAAAAUAAUAUUUAUUUUUUCUCAAUUAAAUUUUAAAAGAUUAAGCGAUUCGAUCAUUAAUAAUUAAUAUAUUAUUUUAUAAAUUAAAUAUUAUCUAAUAUUAUUUUAUAAAUUAAUAUAUUUAAAAUCAUAUUUAUUUUUUCUCAAUUAAAUAUUAAAAAAUUAAGUGCUUCUAUCAUUAAUAAUUAAUAUAUUAUUUUAUAAAUUGAAUCUUAUCUACUAUAAAAAAUAAAUUAAUAUAUUUAAAAUAAUAAUUAUUUUUUCUCAAUUAAAUAUUAAAAAAUUAAGUGCUUCGAUCAUUAAUAAUUAACAUAUUAUUUUAUAAACUAAUAUAUUUAAAAAAAUAAUUAUUUUUCUCAAUUAAAUAUAAAAAAAAUUAAGUGCUUCGAUCAUUAAUAAUUAAUAUAUUAUUUUAUAAAUUAAAUAUUAUCUAAUAUUAUUUUAUAAAUUAAUAUUUAAAAUAAUAAUUAUUUUUUCUCAAUUAAAUGUUAAAAAAUUAAGUGCUUCGAUCAUUAAUAAUUAAUUAAAACACAAAAUAUAAGAUAAAGAAUACAAAAUCUAUCUCAACUAAAAUUUCUUAUCUAAUAUUAUUUUAUAAAUUGAUAUAUUUAAAAUAAUUAUUUUUCUCAAUUAAAUAUUAGAAAGUUGAUUAAGUUGUGGAACUCAACCUGAACUCUUCCCAAGAUCAACAAACAAAAUAUUUACAUUUUUCUUUCCGUACCGGAAAUCACUCUCGGGGUUUAAAGCAAUGUCGAAUAAUGAAAAUUUCCAGGAUUCAAUGCUGAAGAAGCAGAAAGAAGAAGAGGAAGAAGAAUACUUCAGGUUAUUGCCUCCCGGUUAUAGAUUCAAACCAAGGGAUGAAGAGCUUGUUAAUUAUUACUUAAGACCAAAAAUUUCGGGUCUUCCAUUGCCACCCAAUAGAAUAAGAGAGGCUAAUCUCUACGGACAUGAUCCUGAAACUCUUACAGGUUUUUAUUCUUGUUUCUUUAUUUUCUCUGAAACUGUAAAACAUUAGUUUUUUUUUUUAAUUUUGUAUUAUUGAUUAUGUUUUGAUUAAACAGCCAUGAACAAUUACACAUCGUCGAAUGAAGUCGAAAAAGAAUGGUAUUUUUUUACGCCACGAGAACGGAAAUAUACAAACGGAUCAAGGCCGGCGAGGAAAGCCGGUAACGGAUACUGGAAAGCGACCGGAGCCGAUAAAGAGGUCAUAUUGAAAGGAAAGAAGAUAGGAUGUAAAAAGACUUUAGUCUUUUACGAAGGGAAACCACCGAGAGGGUUUAAAACCAAUUGGACCAUGCAUGAAUAUGUAUCAAGCGAAGCUCCUGUCAGAGUAAGACACGGCAAGGAAGACAUGAAGGUAUCAUCUUUCAAAUAUGUGAAAAUUUGUAUCUAUUAAUUAGUACUUAAUUUCGAAAAUUUUUUGUUUUCUUUCAGCUGGAUAAUUGGGUCUUGUGUAGAUUAUACAAGAACCGGAGGGAAGCAAAGCAAAAACAUAGAAUCCCACAAGAAGAGAACGGUCUUGAAUGUCAAGAGAAAGUUGAACCUCACAAAAUGGCUGAACCUGUUAGUGAACCCAUUAAUAUGGUUGCACCACCUGUUUAUGAUCAAUAUGAACAGCGUGAAGUCCAACCAUUUAACAUGAACAUUGGACAAGACACUAAUCGGUUUCCUGAACUAGACAAUCCAAUGCCUGUUUCCGAUGAAUACGGUAAUUAUUAUAUGUUUGAUAAUAAUCCCACACAUGGAGGAGGGUUCCAGCAGGUUCCAAAUUAUGAUGAUUUUGUAACAAAUGCUGCUGCUGCUGCUGCUCCUGCUCCAUUUUCUUCAACGUUUCCUCUUGAUAAUCAGUUUCAGUCCAUGGGCAAUGCUGGUUUUAACUUGCCAGCGCAACCGCUGCAAUUUCAGCCACAUUGGCCGGCGCCACCGUCACCACCGCAGCAGUUUUUAGGAGCCAACACAGGUUUUGAUUUCUCGGUUGAUGAAUAUCUUUUGGAUCCUGAGUUUGGGAUGCCACCACCAGAGUUUUGUUGAACUGAUAGGUUAUUUUUAGGGUUUGAAUAUCCUAACAGUAAUUGAACUAUAUUUCAUAGGAUUUUUUUACCAAGGAUAGAUUUAAGUUUGAUGAUUUUUUUAGCAAUGUAAGGGGAAAUCAACCCCAAAAGUUAAAUGAUUAUUCUGUAAUUUUUUAAAAUUAAAUAAUUAAAAUGUAAAUUUAACUUAAGUGUAGUUUACCCAAAAAUUAAAUAUCAAAAUUUGAGGGACAAGAACAAAAAUUAAACCAAAAUUUUACAAUUACACUGUCAACAUCGUUGCUUUACCCAUUUUCAUGGUCAAAAAGCCAAAACAUUAGCAAAUACCAAAUACAAUAUCACUACGCAAGUUAGCUCGUCAAAUUCUACAUGUUCUUCCUCUCUUUUUUCUUAGUCUUCAUCUCAUUGAAUUUUUUUUAAAUAGAGAGAAAAGGGUGAGAAAAUCCACCAUGGCUUUAGCAAACAAAGCUAUCAAUCUCGCAAGUGUUGGCUCAAAUUUUCCUUCUUCUAUUGAUAAGCUGAAGAAUUCAUCAACUAAAGCUCAAAUAAAUUUAAGGGUCGCGAGAAAUUCAUCAGUUAAAGCAGUUCAGAGCUCAUCUGUGGAAUCAGAUACUGGAAGAUGGGUCAGAAAAAGACGACACCAGAAUGUAGAUGGCGACUUCUUUGUAGGUAAAAAUCAUAUUUUGAUAAUUUCCCAGAAAAUUUCAUCUUUCUGGGGAGCUUUUUUUCUUUAUAAUAUACUGUAAUCGGUGGGAAAUUGUUACUGAACUAGUUCAUUGAUUGAGGGGUUGUUAACUUCUUUUUUUAUGUAGGAUGGUAAAUUCUUAGUUCUUACGGUUGAAAAUGAAUAGGAUAUAGGUGUUAAAUAUAUGUUUUUAACUCUUAAUAGAUGCUGGAAGCUAUGGUACUCGGACUGUGUGAGUGUUGAAUACGGGCAGGGGCGAAGCCAGCAAUUUUGUUUAGGGGCCGAAAUAAAUUUGUAAAAUUUGAGAGGGGGAAAGCUAGAUAUAUAGUACUAUUUACUUUUUAUAGGGGCCAAACUUUGAAUUUUUCCAUUUAACUAAAGGCUUAAAAUGCUUAAUUUAAUGUUUUACUUAUUGGAGGGCCCUAUAUAGCAAUUUCACCAUUUGGCCAAGGGGCCAAGGCCCUUGCCUCCCCCGGCUACACCUCUGGAUACGUCAUACGAGUAUGGUUAAUCUUUUUUCUAUGUUUUUCCAUGUAUUUGGAGAAUCUUUGGAGGUGAUAUCUCGUAUUCUUGUGUCGGACACAGAUACUUUAAGAAAAAUGAGUCCGAGCAGCAUAGACAGUGAGGAUACCUAUAGGAAAAGAGUAUUUUAUUUUUUUAGUGCCAUCUCUGCUAAUUUUGGUAUAUUGGUUUUUAAUCUAUUUUGCAGAUCAUACAUGCAUAGAUUGUGAUACUUGUCGUUGGAUGGCUCCGGUAAUCGCUUAACAAUCAAGCUUUUUUCCUUUUGGAGUUAACUUUUUGGAUUAGAUGAAUGUCAGUUUACUGCUAGUUGAAUAUAAGUUUCAAGGAUCUGGUUUACAAGGUAUAGAUGAAUGUCAGUUUACUGCUAGUUGAAUAUAAGUUUCAAGGAUCUGGUUUACAAGGUAUAGAACAAGAUUGUUCAUCAACAAUUUUAGUUUCUGAAUGCAUUGAGACUUGAAGAAAUGAAAACUAUGUUUAACUCUUAGAAUUGCUGUUUUUUACCGUGUCCGAGAUGGCAUAUGGCAAUAUGAAUUGAAAAUAAAAAUUGUUUGAUUAGCUAUGGUAUAUAUAUAAGCUGAGAGUCAUGGAAGGCAUCUCGCUUGCCAUUAAAUGAUUUCUUCCUUUCUUUUGCCUAAUCACUUUCCAUAUAAUAACAAGAUCCGCAGACCACCGGCUGAGAGUUAUUAACUAUGCUGCAUAACAAUAUUCUCACUUUAAUGUUUCUUUAUUUCUUGUUUGUUUUUCAGCAAGUCUUCACAAGAGUUGGUGAAAUGUCUGCAGUUUAUAAACAGCCAACUUCUAGCGAAGAUCGAUUAAAGGCUCUCCAGGUGCCGUUUCAUUGGUUCCCUUUCUUGUAUAUCUAUAACAUGAUAUAUCAUAAUUUCGCACAUUCAUACGCUUGAACACCUUUAUGCAUUUCUCAUUUUUGUUUCUAUCAAUUAUCAUACAGCGUGUUUGUUACCGAGAUACGUUAGUUUGAUUUCUAUUCCAGAAGAAACUGCAAUGUUAUCAUAAACAUUUGAUAUUUUCAGGCCUUGCUUUCCUGUCCAACAAGCUCAAUCCGUACCGAAGUACCUCCUCCUGAUAUCCUAGAAGCUCAAAAGACAUUUCCGAUUCCAGUAGAUGAGAAGAAACUACCUGUAAAUCAUAUCAUUAGUGUGUUCUUAUUUUGCAUUUUUAUAUUAUACAUUCUUGGAUUAGCAUGCCAACCCGAUCACUAUGUCUAUGAUAUAAUUAUUUUCAGGGUGUUUAUCACUGUGGAUAUCAUUCUGAGAAAUCAUACGGAGCUGCUUCGUACUUGAUCAUUCACCCUGGUGGAAAUAUACUUAUAGAUAGGUAAUAUUAUAGUACUCAUGUCUAACACCUAUACCUGACAUAUUUCCGAGCAUGGGUAUGGGAUAUAACCCUCUAAAGACCCUCCAAAUGCAUAGAAAUGCUUCUUCUUUUUUUCCCACUAUGAUUGCUUCCGCAUGUUAGGUUGAACUAAUUUGUCUAAUAUAAUUCUCUGCAGCCCCAGAUUUACAGAGAAACUUGCAAAGGAGAUUGAGACAAUGGGUGGAGUACGCUAUUUGUUCCUAACCCACAAGUAUGUCCAUAAUUUUAAUUUUUAUUGUUUAUUUUUGAGGUUUCUGAUCCAUGUUGUUAUGGUCAGGGAUGAUGUUGCAGAUCAUGCAAAGUGGGCAACACGGUUUAGCUGUGAUCGAAUUCUGCACUCAGAAGAUGUUAGUUUCAUCAUCCUUAACCUCUGAUAUGCACUUUCAUCUAUUUAAGGAUCUGAGCUAGUUCUGCUAGACAGAAGUGAUCUUAUUCUUGCUUUGGUUCCUUCUAUGUUCGUAAAUCUUUCACAGUUUGCAAGUUCUAAAUUAUGAGAGGUCACUUGAGUUUACUAGUAAGCCCAUGAGUGGAAGUUACUGUAUUGUUUAUAUCAAACAUUAGUCGGACCGUGAGUGCAAAUUUUAAAGCUAUUAUACUAUGUGUACUUCAUCUCUGUAGGUAGAAAUUUGUACUGCUGAUGUUGAGAUGAAGCUAGAGGGGAAUGGUCCAUGGAGCCUCGGAGAUGACAUUAUGCUUGUACAUGCUCCUGGCCACACAGAAGUGAGUUCUUAAUCAAAUACAUUCGACUUCCAUAUGGCUUUGAGAAACACUUCCAUCGAUUCUUGGUUGACAUUUCAAUAUUUAUGUCUUUUUUUAACAUCUGCAAAUAAUCACUAUAUAUGAAUAAAGUUUUACGAAUUCAACUCCGGAUAUCUCAGUAAUUUCUUAAACAGUUUAAGAUGAACAAGGCUUAUAAUAAUACAUUUUGUAACUUGUUGCAGGGUACUGUUUGCUUGCUUUAUAAGCCACUGAAGAUUCUAUUUACGGGUGACCAUCUGAUGAUGACUGAAUCUGGACUCAGCAUAAUGGAAAUGUACAACAAAUACUCUGGUAAUACUACGUAAACACGGCUUCCUUUGUACCAAAAAAAUUGUUAUUGCAUGGAAAUGUUUGGUAAGUUAUAUUUUCUGGUUUAUAUGCCUAUGUUACUCGAACUCGAGUGUGUUGGAUGCAAGACACUUGAUCUUAUUCAACUUAUACAAGAUUUGAUCACAUAAACUUGUAUCAUUUGACUUCGAACUAAUGCCGGCAUUUCAUCAUGCGAUUACAUCUAUGAGUAAAACUAAAAACAACAACAUGAGCUAUGAAUAUGAUCUUAGGGAACAUGAACAUGACAGCAUAGGCAGCCACCUUGUCAACAAAUCAUCAUCAUCUAGCUGGAUAUGUUAUUUAUGGAGCCUGUCUUUCUAACAGUUCACUGGAUUCAACUUUCAUCAAUUACCAUUUUCUUCACUUACGCUCACUAUUUUGUUAUUUUUAACAGUUCCUAAACAGGUGGAUAGUGUUCAAAAGUUGAUACAAUUCGAUUUCGAUUGGAUUAUACCAGGUUGGUGUCAGUUGUCUCGUAAAAUUUUCAGACUAUUUUGAUAGUAUAUAUCGAAACUUUGCAUGCUUUUCAAGAACAGCCUCCUGCACAUGUCGUCCGAUCCGAACUAUGUACUUUUGAAACAUUAACAUGUUUCCAUUGUUCCUUGUAACCACAUUUUGCACAUGAAAACUCAACAUAAGUUGGAUUCAUUGUCUUCCUCCUUUUCAUAUUUGAUUAAUGUUCGUAACGGUCAAUCUUGAAAGUUUUUGACAUCUAUAUUUUACAGGUCACGGUUGGAGAAUCGAGUUCAAAGAUUUUCAGGAGAAGAACACCGUUCUCGAAGCUUUUGUCCGGGAAAAGUAUAACCAGUAUUCCUCAAGCUACAAAUAAACAAGAACUAUAGGUUCCAUGAAAAUCAAAGUGAAUUAAAAAAUGAAAUCUGUUGUAACUUGUACCAUGAUUGCUAGUUUCUCUAUGCAAAUAAAAAUUUCAAGUAUGCAAUCAUAGCUAUGAAACUACUGGAUAAAAAUGCUAUGGAGACUUUGUACUAAGAGUUAUAUUGCAUUUUGUUCAUUCUAUUCAAAAAAUAGGUAAAUUAGUCCUAGUACGUUACAUCAAAGAGGAAAUUGGUUAGUUCUGUUAAAAAUUCCAACAAUUUGUAUUGUUAAAAACUGGCAUGAUUGACGUAAUAAUCAAAUAGUGACAUGUGAUAUGUCAUGUAUAUUUCAUGUUGACGCAGUGGCGAAUUCAGGAGGCUGGCAAGAAUUCAGGAGGCUGGCAAGGCCGUCGGCUUCCUAGAAUAGAAAAUUUUCUAUUUAGGUCUCUUUAUAGUUUAUAAAAUUUUAAAUUAAUAAUGGUAAAAUUGUAAUUUUUUAAAAUUUUUUAAAAUUUUAAAGAUAUAAAUUAUUAAAAUGGUAAAUUUAUAUAUUUACUAUUACAAAAAUAUAUAAUUUAAUUUUGUCUAAAAAAAAUUUUAGCCUUUGUCCUUGUGCUGAUAUACAAAGAUUACUCUUGUUCCCAUAAAUAGUAGGAUAAUCUGCUUCAGCACACUUAAACCCAUAUCUUUUUAUAUUGAUAAUAAUAUCAAUAUCAAUUGAGUUAAAAUUUAAUCAUGCCUCUAUGUAACUUUUAUAAGAACCAUUGUUAUUUCUUAAAAUAUCCGUGUCCAUCGUACUUUCAAGCAUGCUUAAUAUAUAUGUAUAUAUACUUCACAUGAAAAGAAAAAGAUGAAUGCAACUUUACCAAUCACCAACCAAAAAUAAUUAAAAGGAAACAAAAAAAAACAGCUUUAAUCCAUAAAAAAGGGAUAAAGAGACACAAAUAGUCAAGCUGCUGUCACUAUCCAACAUGAAAUCUCAAUGUCACUUUCCUAGAAAGAGAGCAUUCGUUAUUGCAGUCAAUAGAUUCCAAACUAAACCCAAAAAUCUGAAAAAAAAAAUUCUCUUGAAUGGUAGUUAAGCUAAAGCUAAAACAACCCCAUCAUCCCAUUUCUUCAUUGUUCAUGCUUUAGAGACCUUUGACAUGUUCAUAUGGCCUUGUUUGGUAGUCCAGGAAAGUUAAGUGGACUAUUAUUAAGAAUUGGGCAGUGUUUUUCUGCAGCUGCUUCAAUUGGUUUCAUGGUUUCUGCUCAUGGUUUUUUUAACUCCACUGCUUUCUGGUAUUGUUUUCCUUCUAUUAUCUUGGUUAUAUCUUCACUUAGAUUGAUGAUUAUUUGUAUAUGAUUCUAUUGAUUAAUCCAUGUGGCAUGGGUUCGAGUGUGAAUGUGAGGCACGCUACCUGUUCGAGUAUAUUUCAGAGAGAACUUGAAGUAUAUAUGUCCAGAUAUGGUAAAAAUAUCAUGAAAAUUUUUGUAUUGAUUGCAUUUUACUCUAUUUAUUCAAAAAAAAUAAAUUAAUCCAUAUUAAUUACAUCAAAGAGCAAAUUAAUUUUAUUUUACCGUUAAAAAUUGCUCUUUGUACCUCAUAACGAGAUACACGAUAGAUGCUAGGUGUAACUAUCUGGUGAUUCUGUUAGCUACACCAGUUUUUAACCAUAAAAAUAGAUGAAAUUUAAAAAAAAAAAAAAGAGAUUAAUUUAUUCUUUAAUAAAACGUAUAGGACUAAUUUAUCUAUUUUUUUAAUAGAGGGAGCAAAAUGUAACUCAACUCUUAAUAUAGAGGUUGCCAUAAUACUUUUACCAUCUAGAUAUCGAGUACUUCAAGAAAAAUUAAAAAUCAAAAGAUUACCAUAUUGCAUUUCUUUGUUUUCUUCAUUUGAAAGACUAACUAUUAUAGAUUUUUGGAUUUAAAAUUUUUCUUUUUUCGUAUAUUCGUGUUUAAUAUCUGUAUCCUACAUAUAUACUAACAUGAGUAUAAAGACAUAACCCCUCAAGGCUCUCAUGUAUGACAAUUACACCCGAGUCUGUGUAGCUUAGAUACUUGAAAUGGCAUGUUGGUUUGUGAUGUUUUUUUUUUAUUUUUCAUUUGGUUGUGCAUUUCUUUGUUGGUUUCAGCUAUUUGAUUGCGUCAAUGGGGAUUCAAGUUUUAUGGAGCUUUGGACUUGCAUGUCUCGAUUUCCAUGCUUUGAGGUCAAAGACAAACCUACACAAUCCUGUCUUAGUAAGCUUGUUUGUUAUUGGUGAUUGGGUAAUAAUUUUAACUUUCAUUUCUAAAAUUUACUUUUUUUGCUGUUGGAUGAGUGUCUGAUAUUGAUAUGUGUUAAAUACGAAAUUGUUCAUAUCGCCAUUCUCAUGUCCAGAUAUACAAUAAGCAUGGAUGUCAUACAUACAUACAUACAUACAUACAUACAUACAUAAAGAUUUAUGUUGAUAAUCUAAUUGGUUAAAGAUAAUGUCAUGAUGAUGAUGAUGAUGAUGAUGAAAACUGCAGAAUGAUCAUAUUGACAUGUAAUCUUUAGAAGUUCAUACCACCAAACUCAUGUCCAAACUCCAAAUAUGCAACAAACAUGGAUGUAAUUCAUUCAUACAUACAUACAUACAUAUUCAUGCUGAUAAUCUAAUUGGUUAAUGAUAAUGUCAUGAUGCUGAUGAAUGAUGAUGAUGAUGAUGAAAACUACAGAAUGAUUGUAUUGCCAUGUAAUCUUUUAGAAGGUCAUAUCACCAUGUCAUGUCCAACUAUGCAACAAACAUGGCUGUCAUACAUACAUACAUAAAGAUUUAUUUGUCAUGAUGAUGAUGAUGAAAAUUGCAUAAUGAGCGAAUUGCCAUGUAAUCUUUAGAAGGUCAGAUCACCAUACGCAUGUUCAAAUAUGCAAACGAACAUGAAUGCAGGACAUACAUACAUAUUCAUGCUGAUAAUCUAACUGGUUAAUGACCAUGAUGGUGAUGAAAAGUGCAGGUAACAGCCACAUUAUCACUUGCAGCAGCAUGUUCAUCUGCAGGUGUAACAGUUCUUUAUUCAAGAGACUUGGGUUACUGCAGAUCACCACAAAUACCAUGCUCCCAUUUCAAAGCUUCCAUUUUAUUUGCCUUCAUCUCAUGGUUCCUGCUUGCCGUAUCUUCCCAUGUCACAUUUUGGCUUUUGGCCGCUGUUUAAAUCCAUCCCAUUUAUGUUACAAUUCCCCCUUUUCCAUUGAAAAUAGUUCCAAUUUUCUUGGAAACUUGUCAUAGUUGGUAAUCUUCUGUCAGUUUCAUAGAUUUUUUCUUUUUCUUCUUGUACAUGUAUAUACAUAUAUAUAUAUAUGUUCAUUGAAUUUCAACAACUUAUUCUUUCCACUCAACCAUUUAAAAAGGUUAAAAUAUAGUUUAAGUCCUCUAUUCUUCAUAUAUUUGAAAUUUAGUCCUAUUUUUAUUUUAAGGAAUUUAGUCCCUCUACUUUCCAGGUUUAAAAAUACAAGCUGAUUAUUAGCACAAUUAAAAUUCUUUUGUCAAAUUCAGUUUCAGUGUAAUGAUUACCAACUGAUAUUUUUUUAAUCAUUUCAAAAUCUUACACCAAUAAAUUUAAAAAAAAAAUUAACAACACUAAUAAGUGUACUAAAUUCCAAAUUUACAAAAAUAUAUAUAUACGAGGUCAGUUAAUUCAAGUUUCAAAAUUCUUCAAUCACAAUUUUUAAGUACGAGUUAGUUUUGGGUUUUGCCUAUUUCGAGUUUUUCAGUCAGAUCGUUUUGGGUUACUUCUUGAAGUCAUUUCGAGUUCAAAUCAUUUAAAAGUAUAAUGCAUUCUAGAUUUAAAUCGUAUCUAGUACAGAUCAUUUACAAGUUCGAAUUGAACAAAUUAAAAAUAUUGACUUUUUAUUAUCAAAUCAAAUUUUAUUUAUACAGCUCAAGUGCUGAUUAAAAAGCUUAAUCAUAUUUAGUUCGAUUAAUUCAUUAAUCAUACAUAAAAAUAUCGAAAUAAAUUUAAAAUUUGAAUUUUAAUAUCCAUAUUUCCAAAUCUCUUACGUAAAAUUAAAUAAAUUGGGUUAUUUAUUUAGCUUCAAAAAUAUGAAAAGGAAAAAUGUCUGUAACUCAACCAUGAUGGAAACAACUCAGCUAAAGGGAAUUACAGCUAUGCUGUCACAUGAAAUUUAGCAAUUUUCCAUUACCAAACAAGAAAAAAAAAAUUUUGGAAACAACAAUUUCAACAAAGUCAAUAUCUUAAUAAUUUUAUGUUCCCCUGCUGUGGUCCUAUAAUAUUACAGUGAUGAUAAUGACUUUAGAAUAUGCUAUUUAGCCUCUUUUUAUCCUUUCCUUUUUGGUCAGCAAAAUAUAUAUUGGAAAGUGAAAUUUAUUAAUAAUUAAGGACCAUAGGUUUCCAAUUGGUACUUUUUUCCACGUUAAAAAAUUAAAAUUUAUUAUUAGUCCUUGUACUAUGUAUAAAUUAUUAAUUUAGUCUUUAUUUAAUCAAAUUUAAUCCAUACACACAAUGACGUAGUGUAGUAGAGGCUUAGAGGGGCCAUGGCCCUCCAGGGUUUAAGAUUUUUAUAAUUUUUCCCUUUGUAUAGAUACUAUAGCCCUCCCAAAAAUAUAAGUAGGCCCCUCCAAUAUUUUUAUAGUAUUAAAAAUAAUAUUAAAAAUAAAGCAAUAGGAAGCAGUAUGUUUAAAUCGAGUUGCUAUGUUGGAAUAUUGCUUCUUUUGAAUUGAUUGUUACGUAGCACGUCUAAUUUUAGCUUGGCUGUCCAAUACUAACAUCCUGGCUCCGCCACUGCAUACACAUUUUCAAACUGAUCAAUUUCAGUCCCUGUACUUCUUGAAUUUUAAAUUUUCAGUCUUGACUCAAAUAGUAAGAGUUAAAUCGGUUGGUUAAAUUUUACUAUUAAUCACGUACUAUAUGUAAAGUUGUAGAUUUAAUCUGUGUACUUCAAUUGAAUCAUUAUUAAAUUCUUCUAUUAAAUCCAGUUUCAUUACAAAUUUAUAAAAGAUUAUUAAUGAUGUUACUAAAUUAGACCUGAAUUUUAAAAUUUCAAAAGUAAAAAAAAAUUAAAUUUCAAAUGUAAAAAAGUACAAGGACUUAAAGCAAAAUUUAACCUAUUUUAUAUUAUGAUAGUUGAAUCUCAAUAAUUAAGGACUAGUAGGUUAAAAUUAUUUUAUUUCUCAAUGUAUCUACUAAAACAAGCCCAAUAACUAAUCUUUCGCAUUUUGUAAGUCCACUAAAAGGUAGAUGUUAGCCACGAAUUUUAAAGCUACUUCAUACCCAAGACUAGAGGUGUUCAUGGGCCGGGCGGCUCAGCUCUGUCCGACGGCCCGCCCGAAAUAUGGGAGGGUUUGGGUAAAAAUAUAGGCCCGAAAUAUGGGAUUGGGUAAAAAAUAAGGCUCGUUUAGAAAACCGGCCGGGCCUCGGGCAUCACUUUUUUGGCCCGGGCCCGGCCCAAAUAUAUAAUAAAUAUUUUUUUAUUUUUUAUUUUAAAACAUUUUAAAAAUAUUUUUUAGGUAUUUAUUAAAAAAUGGGCCGGACUUGGGCUUAGAAUUUUUCUUGGGCUGGGCCUGGAUAAAAUUUCAGGCCCAUAUUUCGGACUGGGCCGAGCCCGAGCCUAGGAUGCAGGCCGAAAUUUUUUCUAGACCCGGCCCGGCCCAUGAACACCUCUACCCAAGACAAAUAUCGAAUAUUUAAGGUCUAUUUUGAUAUAUAAUGGAAAACAUCUUUAAAGUGAUAAAGGAUAUGGCGGGUAUUUUUUAUUCCACUUAAUAUGUAAUAAAUAAAAUUUUUUUUAUAAAUGUGAUUAAUGUGAUAUAAUUUGAAUAAAAAUAAUAUAUGCUGACGUAAUUACUUAAUUAUUCUUCUAUUUCUUGUCAUAAAGAUCUAAAAUUGGAUUCGAAUUUUAUGCUUUGAAAUUAUAUUUAUUUUUUUUAAGAAGGUAGGUCUACCAACUACACUUUUUAAUAAUUAAUUUUCAACAUCACUUAAUGAAAAGAAAAAUAUUGAAAUAAACAUAUGUAUGCCACAUAAUAUAUCAAAUCCAAUUCUUCACAUGGUAGGACACAUUAUUUCAUCCAACUUUUGUGCCCGCCACUCCAAAUUUAUAAAAAAGUUUAUUUUAGUUUUAGUCCUUCAUCUAAUUUUUCGUCUCCUUUAACCCUUAAAUUUAUAUUUUUUUAUCCAAUCACCUCCAAAUGGAUACAAAUGUUAAUGUGUGUUGUUAAUUUUACUAACAUAACAUCUACGUCAUAGUCAGGGGCGGAGCCAGAAAAAUUGUUUAGGAUGAUGAAAUUAAAUUAUAAUUUUUACGAUAGUAAAAAUGUAAUUUCACUAUUUGAGUAGCCUAUAUUUUUAUAAUUUUUAAAGAAUUAAAUCAAAAUUUUAUUAAUUUUAAGGGGGGCCAAAGCACAAUUUUACUUUUAUUAAUUUAAAAUUUUUAAAUAGGCUAAAUGAAAACUUGUCCAUUUUAGGGGGGCUGGCACCUUUUCCAACCCCCCCACUAGUCAUAAUCCACAUGUAUGACACAUUAGCAUUAAUCAAUUUUUUAAAAAUUAAAAAUAUAUAUUUUUAUAAUUUUUAUACUUUUUAAUCAUUUCUAAUUUUUAAAAUAUAUUUCAUAUUUUUUUUCAAUUUUAAAAAAAUUAAAAAAAUAAUUAAUUGCUAACAUAGCAUAACCGUCAGCUGCCACAUACAUGCCACGUCAGCUAAGUUAACAGACAUUAACUUCUCCAUCAAUUUUGGGGUAAUUUGACAAACAGUGCAAAUUUAAAAGUUAAAAGAGACAAAAAAAAAAGUUAAAUGGAAGGCUAAAAUGAAUUUUUUUAUAAAGUUGGAGGGCCAAAUAAAUCAUUAUACUUUUUUUUAUUAAAUAUAUACAAGAAAAUGACUUGUUGAAGAAUAUACUAAAUAAAUGACAAUUAAAGGAUUCCAUUAUCAAAUCUUUAGAAGAUUUUGAUAACUAAAAAGCUAUAGUCCUCAUAUAUAAUAAACAAACCCAAUUUUCCACUAUACAUUUAUUUAUUUAUUUUUAAUUGACUUUAUUCUAAUUGCAAUUUGGAACCAAGGAAAAUUGCAUUUUACCAAAUUAAAUUGGGGAAAUUUUUUUUAAGGCCUCCAUCAAAAUUAGGUAAGAAAUUGAGAGACCAUUCAAAUAAUAAUUCUAAAUGUGGACAAAUUUUGUCUAUAGAGUUUUCUUAGUUUAGAAUAUCCAAAACCUAAAUAGAAUCUUAAAUUUUUUUUAUUUUUUAUAAAAAAUAUAAAUUAUUGAAAUUUGAAGCACAUUCAACAUCACACAUUUAAUACCCUAUUUUCCCCCUUUAACUUAAUUAAGGUGUAAUUUUGCUCCCAAUCUUUAUACUCUUUGAAAUUUAAUUAUUAAUUUUAGGAUUUUUUUUUUAGAAAUAUUAUUUUUAGGACUUUAAUCUCUAUACUUGUUUGAUUCAAAAAUUAAAGUUUGACUUUUAUUAAAUUUGAAUAUAUGCUAUUAAAUUUUAAUAUUAGAGUUUAACUAAUGCUCAUUAAUAAUAUUAUCAAUUGAAUUUUGAUUUUUAAAUUAGACAAAUAAAAGGAUUAAAUUUCAAGAUUUAAAAACAUAAGGGAUAAAUUUCAAAAGUUAAAAAAGUACAGAUAGUGAGUGCAAAUUAAACCCUUAUUUAACCAUUAAAAUUUUGUUUUAAAAAACUAAAAAUUUUAAAGAAAUUGAAAAAAAAUGUUAUGACUUUUCAUUAGUUUAAUUAAAAUGUUGAAUUUUUAGGUGAAUAGAUAGUUAUUUCAAACUAUUGGACAAGUUGUUUAAAUUUUUUAAAAUAUUUAAUUAUCUUUUUUAAAUUUAAAAAUUUCAUUGACGUCAUUCAUUACGUGCAAUUAAAUUUAGGCCCACACAAUUAAUUAACAGUAUAAAUGAUAAUAAUUAUGAGGCUAAUCAAUUAGGAUCGUGUUCAAAUGUGAUGAUGCAUUUCUAGUGAAAUUAUUGUUGGCAGAUGGAUCUGUCAAUAACACAAUGGUGGAGUUACAUUCGAUUCAUGAUAUCCUUAAUCAUGAAUGGAAGAUACGUAUUCACGAUGUUUCUAGAUCCCAAAACACGGUUGCCGAUCAUGAGGCAAGACUUGCAGUAUCUAAUACUUCAAAUUUAGUCAUUUUUGAAUAACCUUCAUAAUCCCUAAGAUGUGUGUGUUUUUUAAUCGUUUUAUGCUUUUCUUUUCUACCAAAAAAGAAGAAGAAAAUAUCGAAUUUUAAUUUUGGAGAUGUUAUUAUUAAAAAUAAUAAUCAUAAAAUUUAAAUAUAAAUAAUAAAAUUAAUAUUAAAUAUAAAAAUUAAUAAUUAAUAAUAAUAACAACCACUUUAAUUUUGAAACAUUAGCCACAACUAGUGAUAAUUGUGGUUAGUAAUUUAGGGGCCACAAAAUUUAACUUUGAUUUUGGGUCCGUAUGAAUAUGUACCCUCUAGUACCUAUCAACUUUAAUUUUUUUGUUGCCUAACACCCAUUGAAUUCUUAUCAUUGACUCGGUGGGAUUAUAAUUAUGUUUUUUACUUUAAUAUUGCCCACAUUUUUUUAUAGUAAAGAAGAAGGGUAAUAUGCAAAUAAUGCUCUAUCUUUUGUCGUUUUAGCCCCUCCAAGAUUGGGGAAAAGGAUUUCUUAUCCUAUGCUGCCGACAGAAUAGGUGCGUCUUAGACUUAUCAUUUAGAUGAAUCAGAUUGGUUUUGGAUGAAAUAAGGUCAAGGAUUUUGAAAUUUACGGAUUACUUUGGUUUGGUCAUUUUGGUUUGAGAAUUAAGCCUUUCAAAUUGAGUCAUUUCAUAUUAUAUAAUCGGAUUUUUUUUUUAUUCAAGAUGUUGUGGUUAAGUCUUCGGAUUUGAAUUAGUUCGAAAUUAGAUUGGGUUUUUUUCGGAUUUCUAAAGUAUCCGUAUAAAUUUAAAAAAUGUCAUAAGUUUUUAUACUCGAAAGUUUGAACUUUUGUUCAUGUAUUUUUAUUUCUAAAAAUUUAGUUCUUUUAUUUUUAGAUUUUAAAAUUUAAAUCCAAUUGUUAAUAUAGUAAAUUUUGUUGUUAAAUUCAAGUAAAUUAUAAGUCAUUUUUUAAUUACAUGACUGUCAUAUGAGUAUUUUUUUUAUUUUAAAAUGCUACAUCAAUAAAUUUAACAAAUACAAAAAAACAAUAGUAUUAACAGUUGAAUUUAAAUUUUAAAAUCAUAAGAAUUAAAUUCCAGAAUUUUAAUAAGAAUGGGAACUUAUAGCAUAUUUUAACCUGCAUAUAAAUAUACUCAAGUCCACUAAGUGUAGAUCCUUUCCAAAUUUAUUUUAGUAUAGGUUCAGAUAUAUUUCAAUUAUCAACCAAGAUGACCAGAAAAUAGUGAAAUAACAAUAAAAUAUACAAAAAUAAACAAAUUAUUGCUAAUAAGUUAAAAAAAAAAUCCCGGAUAAAACCAACAGAUGUAAUGUUUAUUUGUAAUAUACACAUUAAAGUUACACAUUUCACACCAAUGAUUAACUUAAGCAAUUGACAAACAGGAAAUGACCCUAGAGACUUAGCAGAAAACUGGGAUUCAAUACUUCUUGUUGGAGUGAAAAAGAAGGAAUUAAUAAAAAAAAGAACAAAUACAUUCUUUAAUUUUACCUGGAAAACGAAAAAACAUCAUCACAUGACGAUUUCCGGCUUCAAGAUGCUCGAUUUGAUCUCUUUGUGAGGCAAAACCACGCCGCCGUUGCUGUAAAUUUCGUCACAUACGUGAACGUCUUCUCCAAGGAUGGUCAUGUUUUCUACUCUAGCCCAUUGACCAAUGGUGGAAUGCCAUCCGAUGAUACUGCUGGAUAUGCAUGCGUGUUUCUUGAUGCGCACUCCACGCAUCACCGUGCAACGAGAAAGUCUGACUCCGGACUCGACAACGCAGCCUGGACCAAUUGCCACAUCUGGUCCGAUCAAACAUCCUUCUCCGAUUUUGGCAGUCUCAUGAACCAAAACGUUUCCUACAAUGUUUGGACCACUGGCCAACUUAGGUGAAGCUUUCUUUCGAAGGGAGUCUAGAUAGAGUCUUAGUCCGGUAAUAUAGUCCCUUGGUUGACCGAUGUCCAUCCAAAACCCUGGUAGGACCAUUGCAUACAGCUUCUUCUCGGCUGCAAUCUUCGGGAAGACCUCUUUUUCAAUCGAGGUUGGUCUCAGUUCGAUUCUAUCAAGAACAGAAGGGUUCAGCAGAUAAAUCCCAGCAUUGAUUUUGUUUCCAACGAACAAUUUAGGUUUUUCCACGAAUUUGUCCACUUGUCCUGUUGAUUCUUCCAUCACCACCACACCAUAUUUCGAUGGUUCAUCCACCUAUAUAGUUUCAACUCGACUAUUACAAUCUCUCCAUAGAAAAUAACUCAAAACUGAAAACAAAGAAAAUCUUAAAAGAGUCGAAUUGUUACCUUGGUUACCAUUAUGGAAGCUUCUCCACCAUGAGCUUUGUGGAAUUCAAUCAUUUCUUUGAAUGGAUACUCACUGAUAACGUCACUGUUAAGGACAAAAAACGGUUCACCGGACUCGUCAACAAGUUUGUCCCUAGCCAAAGCAAGAGGACCAGCAGUGCCGAGCGGCUCAGUCUCUUGAGAACACGUGAUCGUGAUCCCGAGUUUAGUUUCGAACUCCUUCAAGAAGUUCAACAUCACCUACAAAAAAUCAAGUUGCCCACCAGUCAGCCUAUGAACACUUAUAGCCACUAAAACUUUCAGAUCAUUGCAUCAAAUUUUACACAUUAAAAACCUCUCAUGUACCUCAGGUUGGUAAUUAAUAGCCAACACAACUUCAGUUACACCAACAGCCUUGAGAGCCUCAAUCUACAAAAAAUCCAAAUAUAUACUAUCUUGAGAAAACAACAAUCAUAAACCCAAAAAAAACUGCUUCCAACAAUCAUAAACCAGAAAAAUACCUGAUGCAGGAUCAUGGGUUUAUUAGCAAAUUCGACAAGUGGCUUCGGAACACUGAGAGUCAAUGGCCUCAAUCGAGUUCCAAACCCUCCAACAAGAAUAAGUGCCUUCAUUCUGAUACAGUUUCUGAUUUACCUGCAAAUAAUAUAAUCAGUAACUUAAGCAAUCCAAUUUAGAUCCCAAAUAAAACCCCAAAAACUCUCCUACUUGUACAUAACAAGGAAACCAAACACUAAAACACACGCCAUAAGCCUUGAUGCGAUAGUCAACCAUCUGAACUUUUUCCCUUUAUUUCCUUCCUACCAAAUACAUUGAUUGGAAUGACUUUAAAACAAAAUCCAGCCAUAGAGUAAACCCUGCUUCAAGUAACGGAACAUGAUUUAAGUUACUUUAUUUUAAUAAUUUUCAAGGGAAAAGAAAUAGUGUUUUUUUUUUUAAAAGAAAGACCAUUCAAAUGUCCAUAGAAAUUGCCUUUCUCGCUUCCACCGAGCCAUGAAAAACAGGAGAUCUCCACAAGAUCACGCGUAGAAGGUUAAAAUAAAAGGAAGCAUUUGAAUUUGACAAUUCCAAGUAAGAAAUCAAAACUUAGCCAGAAAAUAUAAGCCGAGUCAGUCUUGAUCUAGCGACACGCAAAUUCUUGACUUUUUACAAAGCAUUUUAACAACAAACAUAUCAAAAAAGAAACGAAAAACUUCAGUAAAAUUCUUAAGUUGGAUUCUGUGGCUAAACAAGAACGAGAUUAAGUAAAUUAAGUUAAAUCCCCUGUUGUUUUUUUCUCAAAUUUAACCAUGCAAAACCUCAGAUCUAACAAAAAUACAACACUGCAAAUCAAAACAAACUUCAAAAUUCUCCACAAAAACGCAAUUAAAGCAACGAAAUCGAACAAAAAUAAAAUAAAAACGCCGAACAGGAAAUCACAUUGUCAACUCCACUGAAACAUUCAAAGCUAGACUAAUAUAAACCUUGAGAAAACGACUCCAUACAGAGCUCGAAAACACCAUAAUUCAGUGAUUACCUUAAAAGCCUUACCAGAUCCAAGCACGAACUGAGUUCCAAAAACUCGAGACCGAUUCGAGACAACAAAAAAAGGCGGGGAACCGAGUCAACAAGGACGAGUUGUAAUUCUUCAGUUUUUUUUCCUUUUGGUGUCGGAAGCUGAGGUGGCAGCUUAGAGAGGAAAAAAAAUGGGGCAUCGUUUAUGGGAAAGGAGAGCGGUAUUUAUAUUAACAAAGGCGAGAAUGUGAUGAAGAUAACUAACGUGAAGGUUUCUUUCUUUUUUCUUUUUCUUUUUUUUCUUUUUGGCGGAUUUGAAUUAAUUUAUUAAAUUCAAUUUUUUUAUUGAAAAUAAAGGGAUGUUUCGAGGCGGUUUCGGGUUUUGGAUGGGUUACGGGUCGGGGAUAAAAAUGUACGAUUCGGAUUUUAGUUGGGGCGAAGGUGUGUGGUUAUCUAAUGAUGGAAAACGGUAAAUGAUGAUUGGCUUUCAUUGUAGUAAGUGUCACAGUCAGUGAAUCUUUAGAAAAUUCGAAUUUUCUACUUUUUUAUUUUUAUUUUGCUUACAACGAGAAUUUAUUGUAUCACGGAACAUAUGAGCGAAAACUAAAAAAAAUUAAAAAUUAUUGGUAAACAUUUCUUCUUUUAGUCUUUUUCUUCUCCGAUUAGACUUCCUAAUUUAAUAUUCUGUUGUUCAGAAUUAGAAAUUUCUUCUAAUUGAUUUUUAGAAUUAUUUCCUAUAUUAAACAUAAAAAUAUAUUCUUCAUCAGAAUCAGUUUUUGAUAUUAAUUCAUAUAAUAUUUCAUUAGGAUUUGUUUCCUGUAUGAAACAUAUUUCUAAAUCUUGUUCUUCAAGAUUUUUGAUCAUUUUCCUAGCAUUUUUCCUUUUAUUAGGACAUUUGUUAGCUAGAUGACCUUCUUCAUCACAAAUAAAACAUUUACAUAUUUGUUUCUUUUGGUUGGAAGACUUUUUCCUAACCACUUUUUUACUUUGACCAGAAAAUUUUUUAUUACCUAGUUUCCAUUUUCUAAAUUUAUAUUUUUUACGUUUUUUUAUAAGUUUUGGGAUAUAUUUGUUUACACCCAAAUUCCCAUUCAUUUUCUAGUAUUUUAGAACAAUAUUUAUGACUUAACUUAUUUUUGACUUGUUUAGCCGCUUUACUUUGCAAACAGUGUAAAGUUAUUCUUUCUUUUGCAAAAUUAAUUCUAUUUCCUAUAGUAUCUAUAUUAUCUUUUGAAAGCCCUGAGUUUCUACUGUGCUUAUCUACAUAAGAUACGUAUUUGUUUAUACAUAUCUCAUCCCAAGGUGGGGGUAACUUAUGAAAGUAUUGGUUUUUCCAAAACUCUAUAUUUUCAUUUCUUAAUUUUUGAUAUUCAUUAAGAAAUUUUUUAGAAAAUUCUUCUAAAUAUCUAAUAUCACAUAAUUUUAUUUUUGAAAGAGUAUAACUAGCUACACUAUCUUGAUCUUUUUUAUCACAAUAACCACAAAAUUCUGUUUUUAGAAUUGAGGUUAAUCCUUUUAGAAGAUCUUUAGGAGUUCCUAUUUGGUUUAAUAAAAGCUCCUUUUGUUCUUUUCCUUUCUCAGACUCUUCCCAUCGUCUAAGAAAUUGAAGAACAACACCUUGAAAAGUUCCAACAAAAUAGUUUAAAAACUUUUCUUUUGACCAAGUGUUGUUGUUUACAACAAUAGUCAUUGACUGUGCCCAAUCAUCUAUGACUUUUUCAUAGUCUGCUAUAGGAGUAUUAGUUAGAUCUAAAUAUAUUCCUCCUUGAGCAACAUUUCUUUUAUUUAAGUCAUCUAUUCUUUGUUGAACAGGUUGACUUGAUGAUUCACCUGGGUAUUCAGGCUUGACAUCAUUAGUAGCAAUAUUUUCAGUGUUAUCACUAAAAAUUCUCAUUGUAUCAUUAUUUAUUUCAAAAUCUCUUUUUAAAUUUCUAAGAUAAUCAUUUGUUUGAUCAUCUGAUUCUAACUUCCUUUUUCCACGAGGAUCUGGUGGUUCAGUAUCCAUGGGUUCAGGAAUCUCUAUAUUUUCAUCUUCAGAUGAAGUGGUUUCUUCA